rnacentral:lncRNA from 1 species
UUAUAAAUUCUGGACGGAACUGAAGAAGUUUUAUAUAUAUGUGUGUGUGUGGAGGGAAAAAUUCUAGAAUGUAACGGGUAUAUUAGUGACGUGACGUAACAAACCAAUCAAAUUAAUCUUUUUAAGAAUAUAUGUCCCAUCAUGAUUGUAAAAAAGUAUUUUUAUUGUACUUUUGUUUGAAAAGAAAGAAUGUGAUUGGCUUGUUAUUGAUGACGUGGUGCAAGUGUGACAGUGUAGAAUUCCUCGUGGGGGGGGGGGCAGCUAAAUUAAAGCUGCGCCACACAACAAUGGCUGCACAAUUCUUUAUCAACAUCUUCCUCCGUGGGCUCGAAGCUCGUCCAUGGUUCUCCUGUCUGAUCAUCCGGUUCGGUGUCGAAGGUGUGGACUGCCCAAAUAUAGCUGCAGCCGGCCGAUGAUCUUUGGUAUCCUGCCAGGAAGUAUAGCCGCGUCCCGACGGGCGCCAAGGUCAGGUAGUUGAGCCUCCGCGACGGCCUGGAGGGCCCUUCCUGAUCAUCACAAGCAGCGUCGUGAGUGAUGAGGAGCGACGACAGGUCGGGGCGCUGUGAGCGCUCCACGAUGUUCCAAAUCUUGAGCUUGCCGUCGUACGCCUCGACUUGACCCUUCCACGUGUUCAGGCAGUCCCCGGAGCUGAGCAGCCGCCCCCCGACCGCCGCGAUCUGGUUGGGCGGCACGUCCAGCUGCCACAUCCCCGGGAUCAGAUCCCACUUGCUUCGCCCCUCGUCGUACGCCUCCGCGGAGCUCCGCUCCAACAAUCCCGCCAAGCAUUCCCGCUCCGGCGUGAACCCGCCCACCACGUGGAACCGCCCCUCCCACGUGACCGCGACGCACUUGUACCUCGGGGUGCUCAUGUCGGGAAGAGCGGCCCAUUGGUCCCGAGAAGGGUCGUACACCUCCGCAGUCGCCGUCCAUCUGUGGGCACCCGACACUGCCGACAGCAUGCACUGCCCGCCGGCCGCGUAGAUCUUCCCGUCGCACGCCGCGCAUGCGAAGUCGAACCGCGGAGCGAUGAGCUGAGCGCAUGACGACCACUCCUCCGUGCGGAUGUUAUACCUGUUGAAUAUACAAUAUAAGAAUUAAUUAAUACUGCUCUCUGACAACUUAUUAAAGUUCAGAGAAAAUAAUAAUUUUACCUGAGAACCUCGGUUCUGACGGCGACAUCCACCUCAACCGGAUCGACGUCUGCAUCGCCGUCGCGGCCGGGCUCUGAUCUCUGGCAAAGCCUGCCGCCGAUGACGUAAACGCAGUCCCCGAGGGAGAUGAGAGCGAAGCCCUUGAGAACGCUCGUCUCGGGGAUCCCGGGGAUCGGACCGAUGCGGCGCCACGUGUGAUUGGAGGGGUCGUAACUCUCCAGCUGCGUGGAUAACGGGGAUCCUCUACGGCAAAAGCACGCGUAUAUCCUGAAGUUGGUGUUAGUAGGACGACGGCCGGGAAGCGAACCCAUCUAUACUGUUACUAACUAUAAAUUAUUCUAGCCGGGGGAGUUUGGAAGUGGAGACGAGAGCGGAGGAUAUAGAAGGACGGAGGCGGAGAGGUCGAGGGGGAGCUGCGGUGGGCCGUUCGAGGCAUCGAUCAUGACGAUGAAAUAGAGAGAGAACGAUACAAAGCGACGCGUGUUGUGGGAGGAAAUUACUAGAAGGGGUUCUGACGUACGCGAGGUGUUUUUUUUCUCAAUAAUAAUUCAGUGGCCAUUGGACCGGAAAGAGAAGAGAUUUAUGUGAUUGACUUGGACCAAAUCGGACCAUCAUUUGAUGAGUUCUAGCAUAGCAGAGAGAAAAACGAAAGUCCGUAGCUCGCUAUAUAUGAUACCAACUAAUUUUAAUUCAACAUUGGUUUUAAUAUCGACUAAUAAUUGUAUUUCGCAAUAAAAAAUAUCAAAUUAGAUUUUUAUUAUAAAUUUAUCUCUUGCAUGCAAUAAUACCUAACACAACUAUUAAAAGAAAAAUCAAACCAAAAUAUUAUAAGUAAAAUAAGAUUAAUUAUGAGUAUGAUCGUUUUCCUAUUCAUAAGUCGUUUUUUUUAUGAUAGAACUUCCUGAUCAACGAUUCAUACCGUUAAAUAUGAUUUAUAGCAUUUGAAACUUUUAGAAAUCAAAUUUCGUAAUUAUUCGGCAUUAUUUAUUUUAUGAUCAAAAGAUCUCAAAUUUGAUAAUUUUUAAUGGCUGAUGUGGGAUACUUUCCAGUUUAACGAUGGUUGAAUUUUUGAUAAAAGAUUUUAGCCACUGUCUAAAUAAAGAUUAAUAGCUUUGCUUUUAAAUUGAAGAAUCCGAUUAUCCAUUUUUAGGAUGCAUUCAAUUUUGACCGUUCAUUUUAUACCCGCUUGAUGGAUUUUAUUAUAAUUUUAAAAAAUUACGAAAUUUAAUUUUUUGAAGUUUUAAAUCAUAUUUAACGAUGUGGAUCGUCGAUUCAAAAACUCCAUACUGAAAAUAACUUGUAAGUUCAAAGAGCUCUAUACUUGUAAGAGUAUAAUAGUCUUACUUUCUCUCUCUCUCUCUCUCUCUCUCUCUCUCUCUCUCUCUCUCUCUCUCUCUCUAUAUAUAUAUAUAUAUAUAUAUAUAUAUAUAUACACAGAGGGAGUCCAGUUAUUAUACUAUUGAUAGCACAAAGCGCUUUUUACUAUUGAGUUUUCCGCUGUUAGAUCUAGCCCUACUCGUUUGAUUAUAUUAUUCAACCAAUCACCCAGUCAACCCUAGGGAAUUACUAUCAUCCUAACAACGCACAUUCCUCAUCUAAGGGCCGAAAAUCUAAUAGCAACAACUUAAGCUUAUUUCCUCCGCUCAAUGUUGCUACCUUCACCUCUCCACUUCAAGUGACUAUGUAUGCAACUUUGUGAACCUUUUGAAGCAACGCUAUAUUUGCAUCCGCUUUGAUUGUCUAGGUCCACAACAACUUUCUCCUUCUGCAUCUUCAGUUCCUACAGAUGCUUUUGAAAAUUCUGGCAAUUACGUUUGAUGUGCCUUUUUUGCAAUACUACUCAAGAUAAUGACUUCUUUUGUCUCUAGUAGAUACUUUCGCCUCCUUCUUUCUUCUUAUAGUUAGAGUCGUAUUAUGAACCUGGGCUGCGGACUUCUACACAAUUUUUUUUGCAUCUCAUUGAGAGAAUCGUUGUUGCAACCAGCUACUUGCUUAUGGUCUUCUUACCAUAAAGUAAGUGGUCACUAGAUGUCAUGAGAUGUCAGUAAUGAAGACACUAGUAUCAACAUCUUAUUCUUAUAAUCUAGAUUGACUCAAAUACUGGUCAACAACGUACCGCCUUAUUGAAUUUGUUCAAAUGUUCAUAUAAGGUCGUCACUUCUUGCAUCCACAAGAUAUACAACAGUUGCUUCAAAUAUUCGUCAAGGAUUUUGUUAUGUAUAGAUCAAACAAUUACUUUUCUAACUUUGCUGGUAUCAACUCACCGGCUAUAUUAUAAAGAAUCUAAUGUACUAAUGAUAGAUGAAAUGUACUUGGUAUUAUUUUCACCUAUUAUUUUCACCUCUUCUCCUAUAUCGCAUUUGUGAUUUUCGUCGACUUUGCCUCCUUUUCGUUUAAUGUUUGGUACAAAUUCUGUUAAAUCAGAAUUACCUGAACUUUAAUCUUGUGCAAGUCACAAUUUUUCUUAAUAUCAAACUUCUCUAUUUCAAAUUUUGUGGCCAUUUCCGUUGAUCUCUCUUGAGGAUAGUUAACCUUGGGCUUUGAUGUUGAUCUCUCCCAAAGAUCGAUAAGCUUAUAUUUUCAAACCAAUUGUUGAGAAUUCGUGAUCCGCUUUGAUACCAAUUGAAGUACUUUGGUAAGCAUUUUUAUGUCGAUUAUUGUGAUUCCACAACAAAAGCAUAUAUUAUAGCAUACCGACAAUUUCGAAAAACAAAAAUUUGAAGGACCUACUGGCGAAGAAGUUGUCAUUUCAUAUGAAAAUUCUUGAAAUUCCAGAAAGUGGAGGUAUUGAUUUACAAGUUUGCUAAAAGAGGAACGUAUAGAGCAAAAUUUUGCGAAAAUCAGGGUCCCGACACAAUUUUGCUACAUAUUGUAUAUAAGGCAAUGGAAGGAAAAAGUUAUGGUUUUCUUUUCUAAAAUACUAGCCCCCUAUCUUUCUCCCUAUCCUCUCGCCACACCUGCUGUCACGCCUCGGCACUCGCCUAUUUGGUCAGAUUCGGGCCCGCUAACAGACUGCCGAACGGACAGAGUUUUCCUUAUACGUUCUAGGUAUCACAAUCCAUACAAAGCACGAGGUUCCAAUCAUGAACAGAUUUCAAUCAGAGAUUGCAUAAGGAAUAUCAAAAAUAUAAAACAACUAAGUUAUUACAAGCAUUUACAUCACAUGCUUUUUCUACAUAUUACAUUUUCGUUUUCUUCUCUUCCAAAUACAAUCAAGAUUAUUACAAUAUUAUUUUCUUCUUUUCUACAACCCCUAGCUAGGCCACUUCGGGGUACUACUAUUUCUGGUCUAAUGGUAGGGCGCUAUCUAUGGAGCUACGUCCUUUCCUCGCGCCGCCGCGCCGCUCACGUGUGAACCUGAAACCUCAAAACCACGUGGGGUGAGAACUAUUGUCCAUAGUUCCCAGUGGGUACGGCCACCCAAGGGAAAAGCUCGACCCACCAGGUCCGAAGGAGGCACUGCAAACAUGUUAGUCCAACAAAUAUCCACAGAUAUGUAUUUUUCAUCAAAUAGUUUAUACAGCUAACAUUUAUCAUGUUCAUGCCUCGCAACAUGCAACAAUGCAAAUCAUGCAACUCAACACGCAAUGAUGUAAGCAGAUCUACUAAUUCUACUUUCUGUUUAGCUAUCCACAGCUCAUCCAAUUGACAUCUAAGGUUUCCUCUAUCUUCGAUUCAUGUCAUUUACAAUUCUGCUCAUAAGGUUUCAUCUACCUCUACUAAGCCAUCCACCCGACUCGGUCUCGAGUGAAUCAUCCGCGGAAUACGGCGUAAAGCUAAGCUCGAGGUGAAGAAUUAAUGUCUCACAUGUACCUCAGCUUUAAAUCCACUCAACUAGAAUACCGAAUCCAUUCUACUGGGAUUCAAUUACAGCUCAUAUGCUUGUUACCCAAUCAACUUGGCUAACCUGAAGGUUCGCCCCGACUCACAGUGUAAUCCCAUAGGUAAGGAGACCCUCCCGCUUGCAAACCCAAGACCGUCUGCUGGAAAAGUACGUUAGUCCAUCGUGUGAAGACUUCGGAGCUCACUGCUUGGGUGGAGCGACCACCACCAGGCGAGAACAGACUAUGUGAGUAUGAUUCAAUCCUCUCCAACUAAGGAUACCCUAUCAACUAGGAAUAACAAUGACUCGAAAAAUCCACCAAUCCCUACAUUCAUCAUGUCACAAGUGUAUCUACUACACUAGUAUCACAUGCCCACAUCUUAACCACUCGAAAAAUCAUCUAUCCCUAUACUCAUAUCAUAGUGUUACUACUACACUUGUAUUCCAAAUGUCACUCGAUCUACUUGACAUCCUACUUGUUCACAUCGAGUAUAUAGUCUACAUGUCCUUAUUUUUCAAUGUCGAGUUCUCUAAUCACCCUAGAGUUAUCGACCCAAGUUCGACAUGCAUAUAUUAUUUAAUAUAAUCCGCAUUAUAUCAAUAUGCAGGGUUCAUCUAAUAUAUUCUACAACAUGUCAUCAUGUAUAAUUAUCUAGCAUUUCAAGAUAUGUCAACAUACAUAUGUUUUUGUCAUCCAAUGAUAGUCAAGUAUUUCAUGCAUUCAUAUAACAUCAUUUUCAUGCAUUCAUCUAGCAUUAUUUUCAUGCAUUCAUCUAGCAUUUAAUUCAUGCAUUCAUCUAGAAUUUAAUCCAUGCCUUCAUCUAGCAUUUAAUUCAUUAUAUGCAUCAAUAACAAAACCGCAUUCCACUUCGACAUGGAAGCUACCUAAUAUUUUCAGUGAGCACAACCCACCUCGUAACGCUCUCCGAUUGCUUGUAGUCACUUACAAUCGGCCUCCCGCGGCCGUCGUUAUCCGGUUCGGCUCGAACUCGCAAACGAUCACCAACUGCACGUCGAUCCGCGACCUAGGGUCUUCAAGGGCCCUCCUAUAACCUUCAAUUAAAGAACAAAAGGGUUUAAUUAGAUCAAAACCCACAUUAGCCCCAAAACUCUAUUUUAAGCCCUAGCAUGCAUACAAUCUCCCAAUAACCCAAAUCUUAUGGAGAAAACAUGCUAGAAAUGUUUUAGAGGCUAUUAGAACACUAAGCAUUACGGAUUAAAUCAAAUCCCAAAAGAUUACCAAAUUGCGAACGCCGAGACGGAAGCACGCCGCUCAACCGGGCACACGAAGGUUCAAACCGUCGCCUCCCACGCGUUUCUAAGGUUCUUCUCUUUCAAAAUCCCAAGUUUGGAAGAGAGAUCUAGAGAGAAGAGAGAGCAAUUUAUAGAGAAGAGAGAGCUUCUUUCUCUACCUCCAAUAGUGUGUGUGUGUGUGUUGGGCUGUGGGAGAGGAAGAAAGGGGUGUAGCCCUUUAUUAAAGCAACCCCCACCAUUUACCAAACUGCCCCUGCUCAUUCUGGGCAGUUUUCGGGUUCAGGGUCCGGACCCUUAUACAACUAGGGUCUGGACCCCGUAGGUCCAAAAAUUCUGCACAUUUUAGGACUUAGCCAAAUUUUCGAGUGCAUUUAAACCAUCUUAUCAUCCACGUUUUGCCGGAUUUCGGCCAAGAUCCAAUCAUAGCUUUUCGGGUUCCGUUUUUGCACUCGACGCGUACCGAAAACACCCGAAUGCUCUCGAACUUCACCGGAAUCAUUCUAAUGGCUUUCCAAACCAACAUACACCGUAACUUCAUAAUUAUAGAAGUUCGGUAUGCUACACCUGCUAUUCUUAUUUUCCCUACCACGUGCUGCCGUGCACCAUCUCCCUAGUGAUUCUUUGGCCAGCCAAAUCAUUUCCACUACGUGGAUUUUGCCGUUAGCUUUUUUUUUAUGCGAUCCCCCUCGGGUUUUCCUUUAGAGCCAUCACCCUUUGUUUUCCCCACUAGUCUGCUUCGAACCCUAACCAAUGGGUCAACCUAACCAAUGGUUCAGCUCAUUUGGUUCAGUUCAUUUACUUUUCAAAACAACCUGUGAAUGGUGCCGUGGUUAUAACUUGGCUCUGAUACCAUUUUAAUUUGUCACGCCUCGGGGUCUCUUUGUAGUUUAAAAAUACAGCGAAAAUAUUAUUUUUUUUGAAAACCUGACCCCCAAGGUAUGCCAGAUCCGCCACAAAUACAGGGAGUCCACUGUUCACACGGACAGAGUCUCCCCUGUAUUUGCACGGCGUCGUACAAGUACAAGAUACAAACAGGAUACAACCACAACUGAACAUAAAGACAUUCAUGUUCAUACACCAUUCACCACAGGAUCACAUUCAGAGUUUAUUCAGAAAUCCAUAACGAUUAGUUUAAAAUGUUUCUUACCUGAAAAUUCAUUUUGAAAUACUAAUUCAAGGAAACCACGUGAAAACCUUUUUCCUUAAAACGCUACCAUGAGGGGUAGAAAAAUAUUUCCAAUACUUUACAUGAAAAUCACGAGUGUUUUAAUUAACUUCACAAAGCCAUGAGUAUAUAUAUCCAACUAAAAUAAAAUCAUUUGAACCAUGAACCAUCUAAGAUAUAACAAAGAAGUAAUGAGGGUAGUAACUAAGCCAACAAACCAGGUCGGAAGCUCUAUCGACUGCUACGAACAUGUCUAACAUCUCGUCUCGACCCUCACUGCCCACAAUACCUGAAAAAUGGUGGGUGAGGUGUGAACAUAUAAACAUGUCUCCCCUCCUAGUAGGUACCGCAAGCCGACGAAGGCGAGGAAUACUCACCGGAUCAGAAAGAGAGAAACAAAGUCAUGAGCAGAUAUACUAAAUACAGUAGCAAUAAUAAUACAUGAACAUAAUGCAUAAGAACAACUACAGCUACUAUAAGGAAGAACUGAAUGCAUACAUGGAUAUCAACUAUAGUAGCAAGACAACUGUAAACAAAGAACUGUGAGUAUGCAUGCAACAACCGCUACUAUAGUCAUAUGCGUCAACUAGACGAUAAGUCCAAAUAUACCCAAUCUGGAAACUACCCUAUUGGUCUGUAGACCUCAAGCCUGUGCCACAACUGUUCAACCUAUAUGUGACCCUCGCAUAAAGCACCCAAGUCCGAAAGGUAUAUGACCCUCGCAUAAAGCACCCGGGUCUGAAAGCAUAUAACCCUAGCAUAAAGCGCCCGGGCUCACGGGUUGGCACUCCCAAUCACUUUUCCGGAAAAGAAAACCCUCUUGCGGUGGAUCAGAUCGCUGGUGUUCGUGAAAUGCGUACAAGUAGUGGCAAUCAAUGCUGAAAGCUCAAUAGCCAACCGUCCGCAACUAGCCAACAAUCACUGCCCCUCAGGGCAUACUGACUAAUAGGUCAUCGAACUGUAAUAACCACAAGUACCGACCGCUCAGGUCAAUUAGGAUGGAACUACUCAACAUCCCAUCGAAAAUAUACAAGUAUAAUCCAGAUGUAACGAACUGACCGUCUAGGUCAUAACCAAACAUCGGCAACUAGCCGACAAUCCAAACCCUCCAGGUAUACUGACCGUAUAGGUCACCAAAUAAUCCAACCGACCAAUAAGGUCACAGAUAUCACAAGAACGAAUGCAGUGAAUCGACCGAAUAUGUCACAACAACAGAUACAACGAACUGACCGACUAGGUCACAAAAUAUCGGCAACUAGCCAACAAUCCAAACCCUCUAGGUAUACUGAUCGUAUAGGUCACCAAGUAGUCCAACCGACCAAUAAGGUCACAAAACAUCGGCAACUAACCGACAAUACAACCCCUUAGGUAGACUGACCUCGUAGGUCACCAAGUAGUCCAACUGACCACAUAUAUCACAACAACGGAUGUGAAGUAGAAAAACUGACCAAUCAGGUCACAGAUGUGAAAUACGAGAACUGACCAACCAGGUCACAGAUGUCAUAUGCAGAUAAAUCUACUCUACUCCUAAACAUGAAAACAAUCGAGUAGAGUAUAACGGAAACAACAUGCAUGGGUGCAAGGCUCAAUAUAUAUUAUGCAAUAGUAACAAUAAGAGAGCAAGGGUAAGAGGAUAUCACCGAGCGUGCACCACUGUACCGACUUCGGAUCGAAGUACCCAGUUGUAUGAACAAUAUGCCUAUCUUCUGACUGUGGAAGAUCGUCAACCGGACCUAAGGAACGUCCACUGGGUUAGUGUCUAACCCACAAACAAUAAAUGCUGAAUCUACAAUCCCACAAACUAAACCCACGGAGAUCAGUUUCCCAAAACCGAUUACCGUAACUCGCCGGAAGUCCCGAAAAUCGCAUCGGGACUCUGCCGUGACCCACGAACUGUCCCGAAACGCACCGACUCGUACCACGAGUCACCCGCUGCCACUACACAUAUAAUUUCGUGUCACAAAGCAACAAGAACACUAACUCCCUCUGAAACGAUUAUCAUCGGAUAAUCUUUCCGAUCCGGGUUCCCGAAAGUGUCCAAUUUGACACCGAAACCCGCCGUCGCUCACCCGUCAUUUCCGAACCCUCGAAAUGAUGCGAGUGACUAGCCAACAAGGCUCAGCGACUAAACAAUCCAUCACGAAGCACCGUCGGAAUAAUUCAGAACCGACCCCGCGUUCCGUCGGCGGAUUUCGCCGAGAAACGCGCCGGAAAUCACUUUUCGAUUUCCGCAAAGGCUUGGGGCCUUGGACAAUCAGUCCAGAGGUCACCCACAACUCACACAUGCUACCAACAGCAGCUGCGACAGACCAAAAAGCAUAAAAGCCCUCCCGAUUGCAAGAAAUCCCAUUAUUUUAUGUGAUUUCUAAGCUUUUAUGGUCCGACAGCGUAACCCAGGGUCCAUUCAGCCAAGCCGAGACAAAUGCUGAUAGGUUUCAGCGUGCCGGAGGCCAUGCUCGUCUUUCGGAGCAGUUCUGACCACUGUGGGAAGUGCACGAGAGACGCGAACUUCAGCAAACUGUGCGCGCAGCAUGAAAAACAUACUUAUCUCGCAAACCAGGGGCUCGCUGACCCCAAUGAAGGUGGCCACGAUGAUUGGCACUGAAUAAGGAUCACCGUGCUCACCUUCGGACGACUCGGAGUGGCCUCGGGUCACCGGAACAGUGACCGGAACCCCAAAAUAAUAUGCAGGAAAGCAAUACUAGCUUACCGGAGCCAGGUAAGGCACGGGGUGGUCGGCGGCGGCCGGACGGCAGGAGAUCCUGCAGGGGGAGGGUGCGGCCAGUGUGGGGAGGCUAGGGCGCACGCUGGCCGGCGCUGGAAGGCGGCGGCGACGGGCAAUGAUGCCUUAGCGACCAAACCCGUGGGGAGCACGGGCCUAUCCCUGCCAACAGGGACCUCUAGCGGCACUACGGCGGCUGAUGGGUGCGGCGGGCCAGGGGAGGCCGGCGCUGACGCCGGUCGGCUGCGGGAGGUAGCCGCGGCGGCGCUGGAGUAUCCCGAGCACGCAUGGGCUCGGCUCGGGCACAGGGAGCGACGGCGGCCACAGCGACGGCUAGGGGAGCCUCGGGGCGGCUACGAAGGUUCAUUGGAGGCCAGAGGGAGACGCCUCAGCCAGCGCAAGGCGGCGGCAAAACGCAGAUGGCGAGCUAGCUCGGGCUCGGGCCCAGCUUGCGCUAGGAGGCUGCAGGGAGCAAGAGCGGCGGCGAGGGGCCCGCAGGGAUGGCGGCGCCGGCGGCGGAGGGUCGCCGGAGGCCUAGGGUGGCGGCGCGGCCGGCCAAGGGCGGCUGGCGGCGCUCAGCCCACCAGUAAGCUUGGGCUUGGCCCGAGCAGGCCUCAGCUAGCGCGGGUCGCCCAGGUGGCGACGGCGGCGGGCGAAGACGGCGAUGGCCAACCAGGGAAGGUUGCUGGUGGUCCAGGGAGUCGCCGGAACAGAGCGCAAGGGUGCGGGAUCACCAGGGUGGUCCACGGGCUGGGAAGAUGGAGAAUAGUGGAGAUAAUGUUAGGGAAAGCAAACAGGUCCAAUUCUGGUGGCCGACGGCGAGCGGCAGCGGCCGGGCCACGCGCACGGCUGGGAUAGGGGUGUGCUGGCUGCGGCUAGAGGUCAGAUGAGGGGGCUCAUGGGCUAGGGUUAGGGUUUCAUGCUUGAAAACCUAACAAUAACAUAUAUAUAUAAGUGUAUUUUUGCGAAAAAGUCCUCCGAAGCUGAGAAUUUACUGCCCAGUCCUUCACAGUGCGUGUAUUACGCGCGAACGUAAACCCGUGUCCAAACCCGCGCAAUUCGGUACAUAAAAUAUCAAGACUUUUGCGAAGUUUUCCAUUUGCCACAAUCGAACCCUUCCCGAUCAUCAAGCAUUAUCCGAUGAUCCGUCCGUCAGAUUUUCGAUCCGACCGCACUAUCGCGUUCAGCACGACGGGAGCAUCGAAACUACAAUUUCGUUUCAUCAACUUUGGUCGCCGAUUUGCGACAAAACCCAUCCUCUUCUCCAAAAAUCCAAACACCACACUAGCACAAUUGUGUAAACCCAAUAAACCUUAAAUUCGAAUUCGAAUUAGACUUCCCUACCACUAGUAGGUACCCGAAACAUCCUUCACUCAACUCCAGGUCACAUACACAGAUCACGACGGGUUCCAUAAUGCAAGAAUAGCAAAGAGCGAAAACCCGCUUUUUGAUAAAACUCCUUUUUCUCGAAAAUCGUGCAUCAAAAUCAAAAUCUGACAGUGCCAUUGGUUCCAGAAUAACUGAACCGGUCGAAACGAGCUAUUGGAUCGCUAUGAACGGAGUCUGAUACGCGCCGAAAGCCAACUCUACUCCGCGGCUUCUCCGGAAAAUCGGAGUUACUAUUCACUUAAGUGAUUAAUUAAUAUUUAUCGCGUAACUUUUCCGUUCUAACUCGUUUUCUUCCGAAACUUGACGAGUGGUUAUGUAAUUAAAUUACACACAAAAACAUCGUCAACAGAGAGUUCAGCUACACUGCAAAAUCUCAGUCCUUACACUUUAUCUCGAGCAUUAGACUAAUAUGAGUAUGAUCCAGUCUUCACUUAGAGGAUAUAAUGCACAAUGCCACACUUUAACUAGCUCUUUAUGCUAGGUUUACAUGUCCAAUUCUAGAUGCUAAUUCAUUCAUCUAGUUCUAAUUAAUGCCACACCUUUUACAAGUUCAUUAUCCUUAUUUAACAAUCAUAAUACUCGGUGCUAUUCAUGCCAUUACUAACAAUGUCACUUUAUCAACUAUUUCAUAGUCCAACACAAGUUCAUACAUCUAUAGUGUUCUAGGUUUACUAAUCAAUGUCCACAUGCAAUUUGCUUCCAAAGCAUACAACUAGAACACAUAUUACAUUUAACUAUAUGACAAUUACCACCCUAUCAUGUAUGAAUAUCAACUAAACAUGUAUAAUCCAUGUAUACUCAAGAAAAGUGACAUAAACAUAGAUGAUGCCGGAAAGCACCACCCAUCUUUAAAUGAUGCCGGAAUACGAUAAAUUCACUUUCCGUGAUUUAUGAACCAUCACAACCCUCGCUCGUGACAAACAAAGCUAAAAUGAGGUUUUUCCUUACUAGCUUGCCGUAGGCUCAUCGGAACACCGAUCCGAGCUUUCCAACGCGUCAGUUUUAUCCUUAAUUAGGAUUCUACGCGAUCAAUUUCCAGUUAGGUCUCCAAUCCUACAAAGUUGCAUUUUUAAGCCUUAGCUCUAUAUAUUUUCUACAUACACAGGUUCUAUAAGAACAUAUAGAGCAACACAAACCUUACAACCCAAUAACCUCAUAACUGAAUAAUUUAGAGAUACAAGAGAUUAAUUCCUGUCAUAUUCAUACUUUACUCAUAUUUUUACAACUUUUACACUUAACCCAAGUCUACACAUAUGCUCCUACAACUCCAUUUUAAUCAACAGUUCAUAUACGUACAUGCUGUCAAUAUAUAGUUCUUCUCUAAGUUCCAUGUUUAACCAACAAUUCCUCUAUAUAUGCUGUCCAAUUCUUGGUUUACACAGCAUCUAUAAGCUUUGGAAUCCAGGAAUUCCAUUGUUCCAAACCUCUUUAUAGAGUAAUCAUCUUAAACUCUAUCAUAAAGAUAGCAACCCAAGUUCACAUAUAUAAUGUUAAUACAUGGUUUCUCUCUAGGUUUUCAUGGCAAUUAUAAAUACUAGCAUCAAAGAACUCCAAGCUAAACCUUUCUAUAGAGCAAUUACUCUAAACUUAUCAUGGAAAUAGCAACCUGCAUUUCAAGUCUCACUUCUAACAACCAUUCACAUGUAUACUACACAUACAUAUACAUGACAUAUGGCUUGUCGUCUAGGUUUCAUAGCAAUUAGAAGCUCUAGUAAUCAAGAAUUCCUUUGUUCCACCCUUUUAUAGAGUAAAAAACAUCACUCUUAACCAGGAAUUCACAUCACCUAACCUCAAAUUUCAGCUACAAGCUGAAUUUAUAUAGUUCUACUAGGUUUCUUCAUAGAACUACAUGCUAAUAGCAAAGUCUAACCGUUAAGAGAUCCAAAACUCCACUCUUUAUAUAGCAGCUAUCACAACCCCAACCAAAAGAAUAGCAAACCUACCUCAGAUUUGAUGCUUCCACAAGUUUUCUUCUCAGCUGUAGACCUUCCUCUCGGCUCAAAACCAAACUCCACCAAUUUCUCCCUUCAAAAUCCCUUCGAACAGUUUCUAGAGAGAGAGAGGAAGAAAGAGAUAAGAAGGAGGAAUGAAGGAGCUAGUUUCCUGCCUAAGAACCACGUAUGCAGGUUGGGGUUUAAAGAUAAGACUGAAACAAUUGCAAUUAACCCCCCUACACAAGCUGAAAUUACUUUUUACUAAUCUGUUCACAAUUCAGAAUCUGAUACUUUUCGCCGGAGCCCUUCUGAAUGUCCGUUUACGCUCAAAUUUGACAGUCAGGCUCGAUUAAAAUUAAUAAGAAGAACGAUAUCUUAACUUUUCAGUUUGGACCAUUUUGGUCAUCGAAAGCUCUACCGACCUAAAUCUUCAGUAGAUAGCAGUCAAAUUAUAUUUUUUUUCACUUUUCGGGUGUCGGAAUUAUAUGAAACUUUAAAUCUCACCUCAUAAAAGUAAUUUCGACAUAUUCUUCAAUUUUUAUAAUUUUCUGACAUUGUAAAUUUUCUGCUAAAAUAUCAGCCUCGUUUCUUACAGAAAAUUCUAAAUCUUCUGUUUCCAUUCUAAUUUCAACAUAAGUCAUUUCCGACUUAUAUUUUACUUCUCUAAGUCCAACAAAAAUAGCAUCUUACGCUAUUUUUAUUUACACUUACUUUUAUAUUAAAAAUUCGAUAUAUUACAUAAACCCUAAUUCUACAAAAACCCUAAUUCCUAGGGUUUCAAGUUAUGAACACCAUGUAUUCAUCAUGAGAUUUCUAAGGUUAUUUAGGUUUCUAUUCUUGCAAUAGACUCAAAACCAAGUGUUCUAGUGUAUAAAACCAAACCCUAACAUGGAUCUUGCAAGAAAUCUUACCUUAGCCCAAAAGCUCUCCAAGCUCCUCCUUGUAGGUGAGCUCUAGAUCCUUCCAAAGCCCAAAUCCACCUUCAAAUCUCCUCCAAUCUCCUCCAAACCACCUUGGGGGAGAGCUCCUAGAGAGAGAAAGGGAGAAAAAUGAAGUUGGGGUGUUCCUUUGGCUGUGAACAAAAGAGGAGGGGGUGUGGGGCUUCUAUAAGCUGCCACAAUUGCAAACAAGCUCUCCAACAUUUCUUAUUUGUAGCAGACUAAAAUCUGCUGUUCGCACACUGGGUACUGGUAUGCGGGCUCGCGUCACCGGUACGCCGCUGAACAGCUGCCCAAACCCGAGAGCUGCUGUUCUUGGGUUGCUGUAGGAUACCGAUACUAAUCAGAGCUGUCACCGGUACGCAGACCCUAGUGAUCAAACCCGAGAGCAAGCUUCUUGGUUUGCCUGCCUGGUACCGGUACCGCUUUCUCAGUACCGGUACGCAGUGCCCAGACCUCAGUUUUGGCAGUGCUCAGGCUCUAUUUCGCACUGAGCAAUGCCAAAACCUUUCCAACUCACUUGGAACUCAAUUGUAACCCCUCCAACACUGUUGGAGUGUCGCAUGGAUUUUGUCCAACCAUCUCUCUCGCCACACUUUGGUCAAUUUGACUAAAGUUUAACAUAACCUACCGAGAUUUCGGCAUAUUACACUUUGGGCCUUGAUGUACUAUUGGAAACUGAAGAAAAGGUCAAAACGACAAGACAAUAUUUGGUGGCAACUCAAAGUUGACAAAUGAACUAUUCUAAUAAAUGGCAACAUGACCUUGCAUUUAUUUCAGGUAGGAGAUCAUGUGUUCCUAAAGGAUUCGCUAUCUGAAGAGGCAAAAAGAUUUAGGAUGUAUAAAAAGUUAAGUCUUCGAUACAUUGGACCUUUUGAAGUGUUAGCAUGAGUUUGACCCGUGAAAUAUCGAAUUGCCUUACCCCCAAACCUUGUAGGAGAGCAUGAUGUAUUCUAUGUAUCAAUACUAUGGAAAUAAAUAUGUAACAUACCGGAUUUUGGUAUAAAAAUAAAAACAAAUAAAAAUAGUGUGAGAAACUAUUUUUAUUGGAUUUAUAGAAGUAAAAUAUAAGUCGUAAGUGAUUUGUGCUGAAAUUGGAAUGAAAACAGCAGAUUUAGAAUUUUCUGUUGGAAACGGGACAGAUAAAUUAGCAGAAAAAUGCACAGUCUCAGAAAAUUAUGAAAAUUGGAGGAUAACUCAAAAAUACUUUUAUGAGGCUAGAUUUAAAGUUUCAUAUUUUUCUGACACCCGUAGAGUGAGAAAUAAAAUCUGACAGCUAUCUAAUAAAGAUUACAGUUCGGUACAGUUUUCGGUGACCAAAUGCGGUCAAAACUGAAAACUUAAAAUAUAUUCUUACUCAGUACGUUAAACUGAGCCUGCCUGUCAAAUUUGAGCCAAAACGGACAUCCGAAAGGGCUCCAACGAAAUUUAUCAGAUUUUAAGCUACCCGUAGUGAAUAGUGUAUAGUUCAGGGGCAAAAUGGUAAAAAGGGUUUUAAAUCCCUUUUCUUCUUCUUCCUCCCAGCCGUGCUCACCCACGACACACACACCCACACACGUAUGGAAGGGAGAGAGAGAAACUCUCCUUUCUCUCUCUAAAUCUCUCCCAAAAUGGAUGGAUUUGGUGGAGAUUGAAGCUUGGAGGUGAAUCGCCUUCGUCUUCUUCAUCUUCUCCACCUUGAGGGCAAACUUGUGAGGUAAGCUUUUGCUACCCUUUAAUGGUAGAUCCUUAAUGGUUGGUUUAAAUACCUUAUAAAUGAAUUUAGAGGAAUCCUAGCAUACUAUCUAGAUGAAUGAUGCUUGAUUCAUGAAGGAAUUUGGUGGAUUUUUAUUUAGUUGUAAACCUAGGGUUCAAAAUGCUAGUUUGUGAAAUAUGACGGUUUGAUCUAAUUUAACCCCUUGUAAAUCUAAUUGCUAGAUAAACAAACGCGUUGGCGAAGUCGGUUCGGCGAUUCGUCGAGCCGUUGUAAAGUUAUUAAAGAAACAGACAUUUAGGCUUCGUUUCCGCCUGGAGGGCCGAGGCGACAUCGUAAACCCAUGAAAACGGAUUUGAAGCAUCGUGGCAUAUAGCCGAAGACCUUUAAUUUCCGGAUCGUGGAUUGGAGGCCGUUCGGGUGGUCGCGCGAGAGAUCGGGCCAAACCGAGUGCCGGGUGCCGCGGGAGGCCGAUUGCAAGUGUCGACAAGCAAUCGGAAAGCGAUUUGAGGUGGGUUGUGCUUACCGAAGCGACUAGGUCGCCUAUAUGUCUAAGAGUAAUGGUUUUCUAAUUGAUGCAUAUAGUCGAUGUUACUUACUGUUGAGAUAACAUGCAUAAUGACAUAUAAUGUGUUAAAUGCUAGAUGAAUGCAUGAGUUAAUUGUUACAUGAAUGCAUAAAAAUAAUAUUAUAGUAAUAUGUUAGAGGUAAUAUGCAUGUUGAUAAAUUAUGGAACAUGUUGGAUGGCAUAUGAAUGGUUGGCAUAUAUAUGUAGACAUAUUGUGGAAUAUGAUGAAUGAGUGCAUGUUGAUUUAUUGUAGAAUAUACUAGAUGAAUGUAUAUUGACAUAUUGUGGAUUAUGUUAAAUGACACAUGCAUGUUGAACUUGGGUCGAUAAACUCUAGGUGAAUUAGAGAACUCGACAUUGGAAAACAAUGACAUAUGAACUAUGAUAUGUGACGUGGACAAUCUAUAUAUAUUAGAUCGAGUGGCAUAUGAUUAGUAUAGUGGAAACACUUAUGGCAUGUUGAACACUUAGAAAACAAGUGUGGAAUGAGUCCAAGAAUAUAGUAGUGUAUAUGACACAAGUGAUAGUAAAGAAUGCAAAGAAAAGAAUGAUGAAAAUAUUAUGACAUUUCAACCCUAGAGUUAGGGUCAUUUGAGCAUAGUCUUCCUAAAGUUAAGGAAUGGAUUGAACUUGACAUCCUCAAGAUUUUGGAUUUGAUCAUUGAUCAUACUCACCUUUAGUCAUUGCAAAAGGUUGUGGUAGCUCCCCCUUGGGCGAUGUGCUCCGGAGUCGACAUUACUGGGUUGUAGCGGUUAUCUCCCAAGAGGACGGUCCCACCGGGUUGUAGCGGGUAUCUCCCCGGUUAAUGAAUUUUGGGUUGGUAAGUUUGUUGAGGGCGAAACCUUCGGGUUAGCCAAGUGAUUGGGUAAUAAACUUAUGAGCUAUAGUGAUGUCCUAGUUGAAGGGAUUUAAGGCUGAAGUGCAAGUGAGACGUCCUUCGCCUCGGGCCUGGCUUUGUGCGGUACUCCGCAGACGAUUGACUCAAGACCGAGUCGGGCGGUUAGUUUUGUAAAGAUAGAUGAAACUUUAUGAUUAAAAUGGUAAAUGACAGAAAACCUUAAAUGUCAAUUGGAUGAAAAUAGUAACCGAUUGAAUUACUAGUUGAUUAUGUAGUCGCAUCAUUGCAUGAUCUUCAUAUUGCAUUCGUGAGGCAAUGCAUGGUUUUAUUCGUUGCAUAAUCAAGAUAUAUAUCUAUCUGUUUAUUGAACUAACUUGCAAUUGCCUCCAUUGGACCUAUUGGUCGAGCUUUUUCAUUGGGUGGUUGUACCCACUGGGAACCAUGUUGUUGGUUCUCACCCCACGUGGUUUUAGAGUGUUACAGGUUCACACGUGAGCGGCGCGGCGGCGCGAGGCGAGGGCGUAGCAUCAUAAUUAUCGCCCUACCACCGAGACCAGAGAUAGCGGUACCCUGAGUCGGCUUUACUUAGGGAUGUAAGGAAAUGAAAGGAAUAAGAUUGUAAUAAUCAUGUUAAAUCGGAUUGUAUUUGGAAGUUAAAUAUAAUAAGUAUUGGGAUGUAAAAUGUAUGAAUGUGAAUGUAUGUAAUAACAUAGGAUGUGUUAUGUUAUUUGAUACUUUCCAUUAUGUAAUCUUGAUUGAAAUGUGUUCCUGGUUGGAAUUUCGCACAUUGUAUUGAUUGCGACGCCUUAAAUGUACAGGGGAGACUCUGUCCGCGAUACAGGGGAAACCCUGUCCGUUCGGCGGUCUGUUGCGGCGCCGCGACCCGGACAAAUAGGCGGGCGGUCGCAGGGCGUGACAAAAUAUUUGAUCCUUCUCACGCCCUUGAUUAUGCCCCAUUGGAACAACAUGAAAAUUCGAAUUAUAAACAACAACCGGUUCGUAUUUUUGUAUGAGAGGAAAAGGAACUUUGGAACCAAACUAUUUCAUAUGUGAAGAUAUUUGUGGAGCAAUCAUGAAGAGCUUGAAGUGACUUGGGAGCUAGAGAGUUUGAUGUGGGAUCGCUACCUACCUUUUUGAGAUUUUGGAAUAAUGUAUGAAGUUUAAGUUUUGAAGACAAAAUUUUUUAUAAGAGAGGAAGAUGUAACAAACUGGACCUUUGCAAAAUAGUAAACUGAAGUCGCACAGGAACUUAAAUUUUGUCCACUUUCGAAUGCUCGAAAGGUGGAUGCGGGCACUCGAAAAAGUUGUUCCAACUGGUUUUAGUGUUUUGGACAAUCCAAAUGGUCUUGUGGACAGCCCGGAGGUCUUGAGCAUAGAUUCAAACGCUAGAAGGUUUCAUGCACACAUUCGGACUCCCGAAAGUGAUUCAGACGCUCAACCCAAGAGCUCUAGUCACUGUUCACACAAUGACUUGACACCCGAAAUCUCCUAUGGAUGCCUGAAAUUUGUACGGAUAAGAUCGAAGGGUCUGAAAGCGCCGAGCAGUUUACAUAUUAUAGUGUUUGGUUUAUAGGAAAGAAAAAGUAGCUUUCCAUCAACAUUUGUUUGGUUGAAAAGAAAACAAUCCACAUUAAUUUGUUGGUUCGGUGGAAAAAAAAAAUGAAUGAAAAAAGUUUUAAACAGAUUGAGUUUUCAUUAUCCGCUGUAAAACAGUAGAAAAAAACUUCAAUUCUUCCCCAAAUCCGUAAAAGUACUUUUAUAGAAAAAUAUUUUACGUCAAACCAAAGAAUCAAAAAAGUAUUUUGCAUACAGAAAAUAAUUUUUCGGUUUAUUUUAUGCCGAACUAAACUCCCCCUAAGGAUGAAUUAUUAUAAUUUCUUCGGGAUUGGGGGCUUAUUUGCAAUUGUUGUGAAAUUAUUAUAUUCACCCUCAGUUAUCUCCUCUUCAUUCCCCGCUGAGAGAGCUCUAGUUCCUUCUUUAUUUUUUCCAUCUUUUCAAGUUCUUUUUUCUUACUCCUUCACUCCUAUAGCUUCAAUUUUGCGUUGUUUAUAGUCCAACUCAAUUCCAACUUAUUUAAAACUUCUCUAAAUCCAUUCAAAUAGUAUCGUAUAUUAUUUCAUCCGUAUUUUGUCCAAUUUGGACAAAGUUUAGAACUGUAUACUGAAAAUUAGUAUAUUACAUAUACCACAACAAAAUGAAGUGAUUUUAGUGCAAGAAUCAAGUUGUUUAAGAGAUUGCUUGUGUUAUAUUUGAUAGUUAAAAUAUUGUACUUCAUUUUGGGGUUGAAGUAGUUAACACGGCUAUCUAUGUUAUCAUUCAAAUAUACUUACGCUUGGGCUAUACGAAAUACGUCGUAGGAGUCGUUCUUUAGAAGAAAACGCAAUGUUGAAUAUUUUUCAUGUAUUUGGGAGUAGAUGGUACAUUUUUAGAUAUCAUGAAAAUCUUGAAAAAUUUUGCUUCCGAAACGAUCAAGGUACUUAGGUUAUUCUACUACUAGUCGGGCAUAUCAUGUUUGCAAUCUCCAAACUAAGAUGGUGAUGAAAUUUAUUAAUGUAAAAGUCAAUGCAACUUAAUUCUUAUGUUUGUAUUUCUAGUUUUCAUAAUGAUAGGAUUGUUUGUGAUGAUGAUGAUAAUUGUCUUUUUACUUCUCUUCACCUCAUGAUAGUUUGCAUGACAUCAUUGCAUCCUCGUCUGUUAAUUCAACUACAUCUACUUUACUCAUGAUUCAUCUUAUACUUUAUUAUUCGAUGCAUCUUAUGAUUCUUCUCAAGCUACACCUCAAACAUAGCAUGAUGCACCAGCUACUCACACUGCUGCUCAAGACACACACCUCCAAAAAUCAUCCAGCGUCAAACGUUAUUGGAGAUCCCCAUCAAGGGGUUCAUACCAGAAAACAGCUCGAAUGUAAAUUUGCAUGCAACAUCUCAUUGGUGGAACCUAAGAAUGUUGAUGAGGCUACAAGAUAAGUGUUGGAUUGGUGCUAUACAAGUGGAGCUAAGGCAACUUACUUGAAAUUAAGUGUGGGAUUAGCUACGUCGAUUGAAAUAUCAAAAAUGUAAAUAAUCAGAACGAAGUGGAUAUUUCAAAACAAGAAGCACGAAAGAGGAGUUGCGGUCUGAAAUAGAGCAAGAUUGGUGGCUCGAGGAUACACACAAAUUGACAGAACUAACUUCAAGUAGACUUGCACCGGUGGCCCACCUUGAGUCUAUGUAAAUCUUGUUCCGCAUGGCUUGGGACCACAAAAUGAAAUUGUAUCAUAUGAACGUGAAUAGUGCUUUUCUAAAAAGUUAUCUUAAUAGGGAGGUUUGUAUCGAACAAUCAAAAGAUUUUGUAGACCCAAUCCAUCCAGAUUGCAUAUACCGUUUGAAAAAGGUUCUUUAUGGCCUAAAGCAAGCACCGUGAAGAUGGUACAAGAGAUAAUGAAGCAUCUAAUUGAGAAGAGCUGCAUCUGAGAGGGAGCUGACCUGUAACGCCUCAGGGCUUAUUUUGAAAGAUCAUUUAUACAAAAGUGGCUAAUUUUUCCGAAAAAUAUACUUCAAAUGGCCCGGGACCGGCAUGGACCAACCAAUGCACAGGUUUUUUUGUUUAUAUGGAUAGUUCCUUCUCUGUACAUGUACGGUGUCAAGUAUAGACCAACUACAUGAAUCACCACAUCUUCAUUAUAAAUAAGUUUUUUCAAUUGGGAAUGCCGCCAGAGUUGCGCACUCCUGCAUUCAUCGGCCAUGGAGGAUAUGAUGAUGGUGAUGGUGCGGCUGCUGUGGAAGUGCAGCUAGGGCUUUGAGAGGGAGGCAGCAAGGGUGAAAAGCUAAGGUUUUGGCAAAAGAACCCUAGGUCUCAUUAGUCGCACAUUUAUGUUUUCACGGCAACUUUGCUUAAGAGACCCUGAUUCUGCAAAAUUACACUUUGUACGUUUUUAUCACUCAAUGAACUAUUGAACUGACACAUGAAACCCUUCUAAUUCAAAAAAUUGCAAAAAAGUCACACGAAAUAUCAUUGCGACUAAACGUUACAUGAAAUCGUGUAAUUCUUGUGUUUUGUUCAUAAUUCUUCAAGAGUUAAGGGGUCUAAGUGCAAUUGCUCAAUCCUCAUUAAUUAAAUCUCUCAAAUCCUCCCUGUUCUCCCUUGUACGGCAAUCCCAAAAGACCUCUCUCUCUCUCUCUCUCUCUCUCUCUCUCUCUCGUUUAAUUCUCUCUCUCUAGUUUCUCACCCAUGCGUGCCUCUCCCUCACGUGCAUCUCGCCCGCACGCGAUUUUUGUCGGCAUUGUUAUUUUGUUACCGUCAUCUGCUUUUUCGCCAAAAUUGUCUCAUUCAUUAUCGUUUUUACCAUCGAAAAAAUUUUCUAUUUACUCUCUUUACUUUUUUUUUUUGUAUUAUUGAAAAGAAUCCUUUUUUGAUAGAUUUUCAAUCUAAAAACUAUUUUUUAGAAUCUAAAAUUUGCAUUGCAUGUUGAUCUUGAAAUAAUAAAAUUUUAAAAUUUGUUUGAAUCUUUGUACUUCCAUUAGAUUCCAAUGUAUAGAUUUUCUAUAUCCUAUAUAUUAUUGGGAAUACCUGCCAAGUGUUCCAUCUAAUGCCUAAGGACCGUUUGGUUCGGAGGAUAAGCGGGGAUAACGAAAGUUAUCCCCACAAUUCCGCCAAAUGGGGUGAAAUUUGGCCGGGAUAUUUUAUCCCGGUCAAACCUUGCUAUUCCCGAUUAUCCCGGAAUAACAAGGGAUUUGCUCUUCCACCAUUUUGGUGGAAUAGUGCUAUUCCAAUACUUAAUUUCAAACUUAAUUAAAAUUAUAAAUUGAAUUAAAACUAAAUUAUAUAAAUAUAAUAUCUUAUAUAUUAUAAUACAUUAUUUUUAUUAUACAAUUAUUAAUUGUACUAUAUUAAUAAAUAUUAUUUAUAUUUAAAUAUUAUAAUAAAAUUUAUAAUAAAUUAUAUUUGAAUAUUAUAAUAAAUUAUUUUUAUUAAAUUUAAGUUUAAGUAGAAUUUUAAAAAAANAUUAUUUUUAUUAAUUGUUCCCACUCCUAUUCUUAUUUUAAAAUUUUAAAAAUUUAAAUUUUAAAAUUUUAAAUUUUUAAAUUUAUAAUUUAUAAUCUCUCAAAAUUAAAGUUUAUAAAUAUAAAUUAUAAAUUAUAAAUUAUAAAUUUAAUUUUUGAUAUUUUAAAAAUGUAAAAAUUAAAAAUUUUAAUUUUAAAAAUUUUUAAAAAUUUAAAAAUUUAAAUUCAAAUAUAAUAAGAGAAUAAUAUCAUUAUUUUUUAUUUAUAAAAAUUCACUAUCUUUCUUAUUCCAUCUUACCUAACCAAACGCUAUUUUUUUUAUUUCCAGAAAUAACCUAAUUUUUAUCAAAACGCAAAAUUGAUUUAAUCCCCGCAUAUACCUCAAUUUAUACCUAUCCCUGGAAUAGUCACUUUUUGCUUCUCCCCGAACCAAAUGAUACCUAAAAGAAUAUAGAUACAAAUUUUGCUUCCUACGAGAAUAUGUGCUCCUAUUUAAAAAUUUAGUUCUAUUUAUGUUGCACUAUCUUUUUGGAACAAGAUAGCUCAUCAAAUACUUCCUUUGAAUUGAUAGUUGUUAUUACUCAACUUAUAAUGAUCAAAAUUUGUUUCCUAUAUUAGAUUAGCCUUUUAGCAACUUAGACUAGUGCUAAUAUCCUAUUUGAGCUUAUCCAAAUUACAAUAUUGGGAGUUACUUUAUUUCUUAUGAACUAAGGGCAUGUUUGUUUCAACGUAAGUAGGCUUUGGGUGGAAGUGGACUUUGGGUUGAAGUGGAGUUUAGGUGAAAAUUAAUUCACUUCCGCUGUUUGUUUCUAACUGUGGAAGUGCAGUUCUGUGAGUUCUGUUGUUUGUUUGGUAGGAAAUAGAUGACGUAAAAAGUAUAGCUCUCCACCCUCGGUAUGUUUACCUUCGAAGUGAUAUUAUUGUCUAUUUUGUAACUUAGUGAAUAAUAAAUUAUAAUAAAUAAAAAUUAAUAUAAUUAUAUAUCUAUAUAAUUAUAUAUUAUAAAAUAAAAUUUUAAAAAAUUAUAUUAUUUGUUUGCAUAUAAAUUAUAAUAAUGUAACAAAUAAAAUUCUAAAGUUAAAAAAUUAUUAACAUUUAACAAAUUCAUUUUUCAUCAUUUUCUAAAUAUACAAAUUAGACAAAAAAAUAUAUUAAAACUUACUUAACCAAAUUUGAUCACAUUACCUAACCAAAUUUAACAAGUUCCUUUGCCUCUUUGCACUUCACUGGAAUUGACUUCGCCCCGUAGGAGGGCGAAGUCAAUUACCCUAUUUUGGGUGAACUCGACUUUCGGCCGUAAUAAAAUUACGGCAAAAUAAACAACGGAAGUAAUAGUUUACGGCGUAAACAACUUCCCCCCUCUCCACUUCCCCCUCACUUUCACUGAAACAAACACACCCUAAGUGCUGUGUUAGAUAUAUUGUACGUCUAUUAGAAACUCAAUCGGAACAUAGUAAGUGUCACACCCCAAUAAUCCCACAUCGGAUAUGAAUAGAGAUGUGUUUGGGUAUAUAAGAAACUUAGACACUAGUACGUAAUAAUAACCGGACUUAAACAUUUUAGGCCUGUGUUUGGGCCUAACGAGUUAUUGUUGCUAGUGGACUGGGUUGUUACAUUUGGUAUCAGAGCCAAUUCACCAACUGAAAAUGUGUGACGAGUCUCGAGAGAGCCAGGGUAUGAAAGAUAAGGUGAUAGGGGUGAUAGGCUAUGCCGGAGUCUGAAUGAUAAGGUGACCGGCUAUGUCAAGGUCUAGAUGACAAAGCUAGUGAGACUCGAGUCUGAAUGACAAGGGACCAGCUAUGCCAGGAUCUUGAUGAUAAGGCUAGCGAGACGAGUCUCACAUCGUCUGGUGAUCUUGGGCUGUGUGUGUGAUUGGACUGAUGAGGACGUCAGGGAGUCUGUCACACUCCAAUAUUUCUAUAUCGGAUAUGAAUGGGGAUGUGAUUGGGUAUAUAAGAGACUUAGACACUAGUAAUAAUAACCGGGCUUAAACAUUUUAGGCCGGUGUUUGGGCCCAACGAGUUAUUGUUGCUAGUGGGCUGGGUCGUUACAGUAAGUUUUGGCUAUUUUCAUGUUUUGUUUUUGCAAUGAUAUUUUUGUUCUUAUAUUAGGUUUCAUUUGUUAAUUUAAUACCCGGCAUUUUACUCAUCAAUAUUCAGAUUAAUUCGAGGUAAGUGAUCUAACGCUUGUUAGUUUAUUUUGGCAAAAAUUCUAGUAAUAUGUUAUAAAAACAAAAGCUCUUUUGUUUAGAUCCUUUUUUUAAAAAAAUGGGUUGAGUGUGUUCACAUAAAUUACAAAUUGUUGAGAGAUUUCAAAAAGGCUUUGAAUCUUAUUACUAUAUAAUUUCUAAAAGUGUGUACUUUUGAUAUUGUCCUUAUUUGAUAAAAAUUUAAUAUUCGAUAAUUGCUCUAUUUUAAUUGACUGGGUAAAUAAUUUUAAAAUAUGAUGUAUCUUGGUAUAUUGCUAUGACUAUUGUUUACCAUGUCGACAUGAACUUUGUAAUAGAAGCUAGCUUCAAUUUUGUGAUGCACCAUUAAGUGCAAUUUUGUAGGGCGUCUUUAGGUACAAUUUUGUUAUACGCCUGCGGGUGCUAUUUGGAUACACCUUCAAGUGAUUUUGCCUUGCGAUCGCGCCUUGGGGUGCCUUUGAUGUGUAUUUAGGAUCUUUGCGAACAGGUCGCUAGUUACCAGAGACUUUUGUUUAAUUUAAAUUCUAAUAGAAUAAGAAUGCUUUUGUUUAAAUUUUAUUAUUUCUUUAUCCUUUUGUGAAAUAUAUUUAUAAAACUCAAAAUUUUAAAUGAGACUUUUGAAUUUUUCUAAACUCAGUCAUCUUAAUAUUUUUGGUAAUGAAGUUAUAACUGAGUAUUUAUUAAAUAGUUUGUUUAUGUACUCAAUUCAACCAAUGUGGUGUAUGUGUCGCUUACCCAUGCAUGUAUGGAGUUCGAUCAGCUUAUAGGCGAUGGGACCGAGUGAACGCUAGAUGCUGAGAUUCGUUUAUUUUAGAAUUAUUGUUAAAAAUUAGAUAAUUUAGUUAGCUUAAACUUAACUUGUGAUUGACAUUUAAUAUUUUAGUUUUGUUAGAAUUAUUACUAAAUUUGGUGAAUUUAGUGAUUUAUUUGUGGAACUUUCAAUUAUGCAUUUAGUUUUGUGGAUUCAAAUCGGAUUGAUAUUUAACUUAAAUUCGUGAUAGAUUAUUUUACUCAAUAUUUGCAUGAUUUGUUGCCUUGCAUAAUUACAGAUAUGCGGUGUCUGUUAUAUCUCAAAUUCGGAGCGUGACACUAAAGGUGUGUUUGGCUUGAAGUCGGACUCGAUAUCGGAAUAGGAAUGAGAAAAAGCUGGAAACAGAAUCAGAAUGAUUUAUUAUCUCAUUUUGUUUGGCUUACCACCUGAAUUGGAAUCGGAAUGAACCAUUCCUAUUGUCGAUGUUUGGUUUAAAUAGAUAUCAGAAACAUAAUCAAAUUAAUAUGACAAUUUAUCUUUAUAAUAUAUUAGUUUAAAUUCAAACUGAAAAUUAAAUAUUAAAAAUUUACAUCCAAAUUUUAAAUGAUGUCAAAAUUUUAAAUAUAUGUUUUAAAAAAAUUAAAAUUUGAAAUUGAAUUGAUAAUUCAAAAUAUAAAAAAACAAUUUCAAUUUAUUCAAAUUCAAACUGAAAAUUAUAAUUUAAAUUUCAAUUUGAAUCCAUAAAUUUAAUUUAAAUUUUAAAUAAAAUUUGAAUAAAACUUUAGAUUUUAAAUUAAAUUUAAAUUUAAAUUUAUAAAUUAGAUUCGAAAUGCUUGAUUGAAUUUUUAAUUUUUAAUUUAAGUUCGAAUUAAAAUUUAAAUUUAUAAAUAUAUUUUUAAAUUUAAACUUAUGUUUUAAUUAAAAAAUAAGUUUAAAAAAUUUAAAUUUAAUCAAAACAAAUUCAUUCCGUCCUAGGCCGGAUUGGAAAAAGGAAUAAUUAGGGGGAUUCCCAUUCACACGAGAAUAAGAAUCGGAAUGAGAAUUUCACAUAUCAAACACGAAUAAAUGGAUUCGUUCAUUUCGAUUCCGAUUUCAGUGUAAAAAAGGAGCGAACCAAACACGUCCUAAGUAUUCUUGCAAAUUCCACUUCCAGAAAUUCUCAAAAAAGUCAUUUAAAGUGUGACACGAAAAGCGACUAGUGCUGCCAAACUUGAUUUUCUUCUCUCUCUUGGAACUCCAAAAUCAUUCUCGAACGCAUGCAAUUUCACACGUAAACCCCUCAUAAGCCAGGAUUAUAAUUGAAUCCCAAAAAUAGAUCAUUUAUUGCAUUUAUAGAGUCGAAUUAAUAAAGUAAGCCCCUGAUUUACAAAAUUUUGUAUUAAAAGAACCUCAAGUUAUACAUUAUAACAUCACUCCCUUCUUACAUGAGUUUCAUCCCUUGAACUUGCUAUAUCAUCCGAAAACAAAUUUGGGUAUUGCUUCCAUAUAAAAGACCCGAGCUCCCAAUUAGUCGCCUUACACUUUUUGUGAUCUUCUCGUUACACCUUCACAUCAAAGCUCAGAUCCUCUUGAAGCUGAAUCGAAGUAGAUCGACCUCUAUCUUAAUUAACUUGUUUCUAGGGAAUAGUACUACUCAAAGGAUAUACUCAAUAAACUCUGCAGGAAUUGUCACAAGAGUAGGGCGUCGUUGCUCCUUGUAUUUUCACACAUGGCUUUAAAGUGUGAUAGAUGCUAAUCAGGGUUACUAAUGUCAAUGAAUAACUUAAAUUUAGACGCUUGAUAUCCCUUUGAAAAAGGUACAUUGCCAAAUUCUAACAAGUAGGGAUAGGGACUGAGCCAGGAUUUAAGCUGCGAAGGGGCCAAGAACACACAAUACAUUAAUCUUAAAAAAUUAUUAUAAAAUAAAUUAUAACAAAAAACCGAUGUACAAAAAAUAAAAAAUGUUUAAAAAAUUUGUGUGCCGGCUCAAAUUCAAAUGUGCUCGAUGUACUAGAUUUUUUUUUUUCCCAAUAUGUAUGAUUAUAGAGAACUUCUCAACCCACAAGUUUUAUGAGGAGAAAUUUUGUGUUAGACACACAAGUUUUAUAAAAAAAAGUAUUUUAUCCUGGUAAAGACAAAAAAUUAUAAUAUUUUAAUAUUUACUAUGCCUAAUUAUUAGGAACUGAUAUAUAAUUUUUAAAAAUAUGAGGGGAGCCAUGGCCACUAUGGGCCUCAAUAUAGCUCCUUCACUGGGUAGGGGGAGUCCAUUUCUUUUUGACUUUGGGCUUUACUCCACUAUUGUUUUAAUUUUAUUCCUAAAUUCAUUUAUUCCAAAGCUUUGUGGGCUUUUUUUUUUUUUAAUUGAAUGAGAAGAGAGUUGGGAUGUCAAUGGGUAUGGAUUACCCGAAAUAUUAUCCGAAUCCGAACGGGACGGAUUUAUUCGAGCUAAAUGGGUAUGGAUUCGAUUAUGGGCAUAAAAAAUAAAAAACCCGACGGAUAUGAAUACGGGUAUGGAUUUUGUAUUUACCCGACCCGAAUCCAAACUCGACCCAAACCCAAACCCAAACCCGAACCCGAACCCGAAUAAAUUAUAUAUAUACAUACUUUAUUUUUAUUUAUUAUAUAAAAUGUAAAAUAUUUAAUAAUUUUAUCUCUUACAUCUUCAUUCAACGGAAUGGAUUUUAAAACCCGCCGGGUCCGGGUUCGGGUUUCGGGUUUUUGGUCAGGUACGGAUAUGCGUAUGGAUUUUUAAAAUCCGCCGGGUUCAGGUCCGGGUACGAAUUUUAAUUUGGUUUUCGGGUUCGGAUUUUUAAAAAUCCGACCCAAACCCAACCUGUUGACAUCUCUAGAAGAGAGUUUAGGAUAUUUCAGAAUCAUGUCUUCCCUACCUAUCCCUAUCUCUUCGUAUCUAAUUUUCUAUCCACCCUUCUAAUUUCUUCACAAAUAGCUUGUAGAGAAGUUCACUUAUUAUUACUUUAAAUUGUAAAUUUUUGCCUUAGAUCAUGCAUGAUCAUAUCUUAAAAAUUACAAAAUGAAGUAAAUUAUAUUAGAAACUAAACUAAUAAAAAUAUAAUUGUUAUACUUUCGUGCAUCGCAUGUCACUACAACAGAAUUAGGUUAUAGGGACGCAUGUUUGGGACACUUUUGAGUAAGUGUCCCAUUUAUACUAAAACUUAAAAACACAUCUACUAAUGCCUAAAUAUAAAGCCCAAUCCAACCAAAAAUAAAAGAUUACUCUACUCAACCCACCACACCCAGUCCAUUUGGCCCGAUUACAAACAGAAAAGAAAAAAAAAAGAAAAAUUAAUUACCAUCUUUUCUUCUCUCUUCACUCAAUCCACUGAAAUUCUAGACGAAGAGCCUUUACUGUCGUUCUCCUCUGCCACCGCAGCCAACGAGAUAGAGUUUCGGCGGUUGCUAAAUACUUAAAUAAGUGUUGAUAAAUUAGCAGCACUCUUUUAGGUUAUAGCGACACUCUUUAACUGUCACUAUAUACCUAGCGACCCCACAUAUAGCAACACUUUUUAAAAGUGUCGGUAAUUUUAGCUAGCAGCACUUUUUUGACAUGUACCUAUAUUUAAAAGUGUCACUAUAGACCGUUUUUGUUGUAGUGUGUCUUACUUACUAGUAUAUAUAUUUGAUUGACUUAGUAUCAUAAGAAUUCUAAGCAAUAUGAGACUAUAACCUGGAUUUGAAUUUCUCAUGAGGAUUAACAUACCAAACAAAGGUCUGAUGCUUAGCAACGACAACAAGGGAGCCUUUUCGUUUAUAUAAAUAUAAGAAAACCUUUAAUUUGCCCUUAUGUGAUUUAUGGUAUUUUUAUUUUGUCAUCUUGUAAUUUAAUAAAUUUUACUAUUUUACACUCUAGUUUUUCUUUGUAUUACUGUAAAAACCUGAUUUUUAGUGAAAUGCCAUAAUACUAUAUAUAAUGUAUGAACCAUACAGUUGAGUAUGCUUUCAUGUCGGUUAGUAUAUAGGAAUAAAUUAUCUAAACCUCAUAUUUUACUAACACGUAUAAUAAGAAUACCAUCUCGAUGUUAGAAACAAUGCUAAUGAUAAUUAGAUUAGGAUUUGAUUAUUUGAUUUUAUCUAUUUUUAGAUUUGGUUAUUUAAAUUGUGAUUAAGAUGAAAUCUAAUUGGAGUAGAAUUUUGUGUAAUUAGUUAUAUACAGAGAGGCCGGGAUCAUUGUGGCUAACGAAGCCAAAAUUGUCUUAAUUUAUUAGUGCUCCCCGAAGGAUGCCAGUACAAACGCAUGCAUGUAUUAUGGUGUGCUCGUUAACUUUUUCUUCAAAGUUAUUUUAGUUUGCUUCCACCAAAACAUACAAGAUAUUUUUAUUUCUCUUUUUCUCUUCUCUUGAUCUCUAUAUAGCACAGCAAAUAUAUAAAACGUAUUUGUCGGAGGCCCACCACCGUAAUAAGUGGUAUUCGAACUAAGUUUUCGAGAGAAGGUAUUGAUGGCGUUUAACAGCGCUAACGGAGUUGCACGAAAAUUCCCGAUAUUUAAAGAGGACAACUAUAAUUUUGGGUGCAUAAAGAUGUAGACGUUGCUGCGAUCCCAAGAUUUAUAGGAUUUUGUAGAAAAAGAAUGUAAGGAAGCAACGGGAAAGAAUCUAAAAAAAGGAUGCUUAUUUUUUUUUUAUUCAGCAACUAGUUGAUGACUCGAUAUUUUUUCAUAUUGUCAAUGCUACUCGAUCGAAGAAAGAAUGAGAUAUAUUGCAGAAGGAAUACCAACGUAACGAAAAGAUACUCAGAGUUAAGAUUCAAACUUUUUAAAAAAAUUUGAUACUUUAUUUAUGCAAGAAAAUAAAAAUAUUCACUUUUAUUUUUCUAGAGUUAUAGAAUUAAUUAUUUUGAUGCGUACCUAUAGUGAAUAGAUUACUGAUCAAAUAAUAGUUGAAAAAUUUUUAAAAAGUAUGACAAAAAAAUAUGAUGAUUUAGUUUCUGUCAUAGAAGAGAUAAAAGAUUUAUUUAAAUUACCUUAUAGUGAACUUCUUGAUUUUCCUUUAGCAUAAGAAAAAUGAAAAGAUAGAAUUAAAAUUUUUUUUGAGUAUUCUUUUCAAAGCAAAUAAAAAACAAUGAAAAUGGUGGUGCACAUACUUCCAAUCGUCAAGCUUUAGCAUCAUGCGGCCGUGGCAGAGGUCAUGGUCGUGGUCGUGGCCGUGGUAAAGACUGUGGCGGUAGGUUAGGUGGUUUCAACAACAGAAACGGUAAAGAAUCAAGUAAUCAAAAUCAGAGAACCUACGGAAUAACAAUCAACCCCAGAAUCCUAAAAUUAUUUAACGCUAUUAUUAUGAAAAAUUUGGCCAUAUCGAGCGGUUUUGUCGAUUGAAACAGUAAAACGCUGAUUUUGCUUAUAGAAACAAUGAAAAUGAUAAUAUACUUUUUGCAUGUCGUUUAUUAUAAAAGGAUGUUAAUAAUAUUUGGUAUGUUGCUAAUGAUUAUAGUAGUCACAUGACAGGAAAAGAAGGUAUCUUUAUUUAUUUGGAUAAAUCAGUUAAAAGCCGUAUGGUGAUGGGUGACAGCUAUGUCCAUGACUUGCAGGAAAGAGGUACAAUUGAGGUACAUAUUUUUGGAAUGCAAAAAAUAAAUAAUAUCUUAUAUGUUUCAGGAUUAAAUUCCAAUCUUUUUAGUGUGGGUAAAUUUUUUAAAGAAGGUUAUUUGUUUAUUUUUUUAAAUUCUAAGUGCACAAUUUAUAGAGAUAAAAAUAAAAAAAAUUUACUUUUUGAAGUUACAAUGACAGAAAAUAAAGUUUUUUUUUUCUAUUCAUGUUGCAAUGAAAGUAGUGCUAGAUGAUGAUUAAUUAUGGCACUAUAGAUAUGAUCACUUCAGUUUUAAGGGGCUUAAUCUAUUAUAUAGAAAGAAUAUAGUUGAUGGUUUAUCUUUGGUGCAUAAUAAUGGUUCCGUGUGUAAAAGUUGUGUGCCAAAAAAGCAUCACAUGGACUCUUUUUCUAGAAAUAGCAAUUAGAGAGUCAAAAAACUAUUAGAAUUGAUAUAUGAAGAUGUAUGUGGGCCGAUGCAGUGUGACGCCUCGAUUCUAUAGUAGAAGCCCAAUGGGACGUCAACAAACCCACUGAAAGGAUAGAGUUUUCCCUGAUCGAUUGAAGUAUCAACAAAUUAGAAUAGGUAUUCAAAUCCGGUAUGCUACAUGCAUAUACCAUCGCUCAGCAGCAAUUACUACUUUGUGGCUUUUAUGGAUCACUAUAUGUGAGGACUGAGAAUCUUUGCCGAGUAGCUAAAUACUCUAUUAAUAAUGUUUCUAUGUGUAUUUUAAUUUCUUAAUCACUCAUCAAUUUAAAGAGGAAAACGAGUUAAGAUGAAACCGUUACGCGAUUAUUACUAUUCACUUAAGUGAAUAGUAACUCGCGUUUGCGGUUGAGGCUAUUGGAUGUAGAUGGCUUCUGAUAUGUAGCGAACUCUAUUUCAUGUGAUCCAAUAGCUCGUUUUCGAUGGUUCAACUGUGCCGGAAUUAAUGGCACUGACAGAUUUUAUGUUCGAUGAACGAUUUUUUAGAAAAGUAGCUUUUAUCACAGAUAAGGCAGUUUUUACUCAUUGUUUUUGCUUUUUAAAAGCAACUGGUGCUCCGUUUUACGUGAAAACGCACGGGCAGGGACCAUUCUAUGAGAAAAUUAUAUUGGAGAGGGAUUAGGCUGCGAUUAUUGAGAAUUGGGGGAUUUUUGGAGAUUUAUUCUUGGACAUAUAUAUAUAUAUAUAUAUAUAUAUAUAUAUAUAUCGCAUAGUUCAAGUUUCUGUAACAUCUUCCUCUGUAGUCUGUAUGUACGUUUCAAGUGAGAACAACACACGAAAACUCACACAAUAGGAGCCUCAACUGAAGAGGUAAGCAAACUUACAGUGAGCAUCCAAGUAGCAUUCUCGACCUCCCGCGGGUUUGAUUUCACGUACCGAUGGUUGAAGGUGCAACCCGAGUGCAUGUCCACUUUGUGAUCGUCCCUCAAGUGCGCGACCAAGAAAGGGAUAUCCCCGACAACAGAGCAUUCGGAUCCGGCGUAAGGGCAGUUGUACGGCCUGAAGUUGCACUGGGCCUCGUGUUUGAGCUUGCUGUAGUACGGGAAAAUUUCNUAUAUAUAUAUAUAUAUAUAAAAUUAGGCUGGAAUACUUUUAAUAGCACCAAUGACUUGGUGCUGUUAAGUUUUCUGCCCUUUGAUUAAAAGAUGUGUGGUUAGAAUGAUGUGGGUACCCUAGGGUUGAGUAGGUGGUUGGUUGAAUAGUAUAAUUAAACGGAUGAAAAUGAUAAAAAGAAAAAUCUAAUGGCAGAAAACUUGAUAGCACCUGUAGUAUCCCUGGUUUUUGGGUUGCCCGUGGAUUUCAGCAUCUGAGGCUUGUCGACACAUCUGGAGAGUGUCGGGACAAGUUCGAGUCGUUUUGGCGCGAAAUGGACGCAAAACGGACUCAGCAUGACGCAAGAGCAGAGUUUUGACAUUGGAAUUUACAAAGUGCAGAUUUUCAGUGCUGAGUACCGGUACCACGCAUGGGAGUACCGGUACCCCAGUGUAUUUCCUGAAUAGACUACUCUCGGGUUUGCCAAUUUGGUGCUGAGUACCGGUACAGCAUCGGGCUAGUACCGGUACCCGGUGUGCGAGGCUGCGGGCUGAGAGGCCGAGUACCGGUAACUAAAUAUGGUACCGGUACUCCAGUUGUAUAUUUGAGUUGGUGAGGGGCCUUUUGGUCAUUUGAAGUGGCGUUGAUUUCUAUCUUUCCCCACUACUUUAUAUACGUGUAAAGAGGCAGGGAGUGAGCAUCUAGUUACUACUUCCUCUCUCUCUCUAGGUUUGACCCGAGCGUGAUGGAGGCCACGGCUUGAGCUCGAAUCGACGUCGACGUUGCGCCAGGGAGCCGUUCGAGUGCGCGAGCGUGGCGGUUGCAUCGUUUGGAGGCCCUGCGAGCGCGGGUUUUUCCUUCUCUUGACUUCGCACCAUAGUUGAACUAACUUUUAGAGGUGGGCUGAAGUUUACCGAAAUCGUCGGAAUAUUUUCUAAGUUUUAGCAUCGUCGACAUGUAUUAAUUGUGUAGUUUCUUGCUAGUACUCAGAUUCAUGGAUUAGUGUUUAAAUCUGAAUUUGGAGUUAAGCUAGUAGUUUAAUUUUACAUGUUGGACUUGGAAUUGACUUAGGAGAAAACUAUUAGAUUCUACACUGUCACUUUCUGAAAACUACCAAAUUUAGCUUUAGGAGCUGUAGUUUGUUUGUAUCGCCGCAGUUUGUACGCGGUGGAUACUCAGAUUAGUGUUGGAUGAAUUUACACUUGUGCUGGGAUGCCGAGCUUAUUAUACAGUUGUGUGUAGACUAUUUCGGACUGUCGGGUGCCGUCGCGGUUGACGGUAGACCCAGAUUUCUGUUUUUGCAUCAGAUUGUGCCAAUGGCACGUGAGCUUUGAUUUGGUUGUUAGACCAAUUAGACCCAUUUACUUUGAUUAGAGCCUGUGAGAGUCUGAUUGAGCUCGGCAGAGACACGCUUGCAUACUCGGUUGGGUAGCGCCCACGAGUGCCACUCCGGAGUAAGGUUUUGUGCGUCUGCGUUGAUGUCGUAGUGUCCUGGUUGGACUUGCUCUUCACCAACAACCCCACGUGGUGGUAGUUGGUGUAGCUUGGGCAGGCGGGACGGGUGCGUUCACAGUCCCUAGUGAGAUUGGGUCAGAGUUUGUAUCAUGUUUACAUCUACAGAUAGCUAGUAUUGAUUAGCGAUCGUAUUGUGGCAUAUAGCUGUAGGAUUUGUAUCAGCUUCCUUUACUAUUUUUCUGCAUACUUUCUGUAGACUUAGUGCUGGAGCCGUUGAGGUCGGUAGCGGUACCUACUGAGAACUACUUCUUUUUGCAAUAGUUCUCACACCCAGUUGGUGACCCCUUUUUGCAGAGCCAUCUUUUGUGGCUGCUGCUGUUCCUAAUACUGAUCGUGGAAAGGGAGUUGCGAGUUAAAUUUCUUCCAGACGAGUUGCAGGGCUAGAGGAGUACAUUCCACAGGUAGUUUUGGGGUAUUUAUGUACAUAUGGUUGUUGUUUGGAUCCGACCUCAUAGGUCAUCAAACGAUAAGAGUAACGAACUAACUGACUAGGUCACAAACAUGUCAAGUAGUGGAUCUGAGUAAACUAUAAUCAUCCGUCGACAACUAGCCGACAAUCCUACCCCUCAGGGUAUACCGAACGUAUAGGUCAUCGAACAACAGAAAUCAUGGAACUGAUCGAAUAGGUCACAAAUACGGGAUACUAGAAUCGAUCGACUAAGUCACUGAUCUCACAAUCAAUCAUAAUUCUGCUCUACUCCUACUCAUGAUACUAGAUAUGAAAAAUAAUCGAGUAGAGUAAGAUAUAAACAAUAUGGAUGCAAGGUUCAACAUAUACUAUGCAAUAAUAAUAACAGAAGAGUGAGGGUAAGAAACCAUCACCGAGCGUGCACCACUGUACUGACGUCGGAUCGAACUACCCACCUGUACAAAUACGGUGCCUGUCUCUCGUCUGUGGAAGAAGUAUCAACCGGACCUAAGAAGGAUCCACCGGGUUAGUGUCUAACCCACAACUAAGAAAUACUAAAUCAUAAUCCCACUAACAAACCCACGGAGAUCGGUUUCCCAAACCGAUCGCCGUAACACGCCGAAAGUCCCGUAAACCUCACUGGAAUUCCGCCGGGACCCACGGACUGUCCCGGAACUCACCGACUCGUACCACGAGUCACCCGCUGCCACUAAAUACAAAUUUACGUGUGAGUUGGGAGCAAAGACCUUAACUCACUCCAAAAUGAUUAUCGUCGGAUAAUCGUUCUGAUCCGGGUUCCCGGAAGUGUCUAUUUCGACACCGGAACCCACCGUCGCUCACCUGUCAUUCCUGAACCCUCGAAAUGACACGGGUGACCAGCCAACUAGGCUCAGCGACAAAAUAAAUCAUCCUGAGACACCGUCGGAAGGAUUCCGAACCGAGCACGCGUUCCGUCGGCGGAUUUCGCCGAAAAACGUGCCGAAAAUGCAUUUUCGAUCUUCGCAAAGGUCUCCGGCCUUGGACAAUCAGUCCAGAGGUCACCCACAGCUCAUCCAUGCUGCCAACAGCAGCCGCAACAACCCAAAAUGCAUAAAAGCCCUCCCGAUUACCCAAAAUCGCAUUAUUUCAUGCAAUUUCGGCGCUUUUAUGGUCCGUCUACACAAACUAGAAGUCAUUCAGCCAAACCGAGACACCUACUGACAGGUCUCGGCGUGCCGGAGGCCGUGCUCACCUUUCGGAGCACUGCCGGCCACUGUGGCAUGCGCACGAGCGACACGAAAUUCAGCAAAGCAGCGCGCACAGCGCUUAAAUCACGUCAACUACACAAACAAGGGCAUGUAUGACCCUAACGGAGGUGAGCAUUGUGUUCAGAACGAAGCGAGGAUGAUCGUGCUCACUUCCGGAGUUAUUGGAGUGUCCUCGGAUCACCGGAAAGGUGACCGGAAACUCCAAACUACAGUGCUGGAGUGAAAACAGUGCAUACUGGAGUUGUGGGAGCUAGGGUCGGUCGCCGGCGGCCGGACGGCGAGCACUCCGGCGGGGAAUGGGAGAGGUCGGUCCGAGAGGUUCGGGGAGGGUGCUGGCCGGCGGCGGGCGGCAACCGGUGGCGCGGCGGAGGAGAUCCAAACCCCGAACUAACUCUCGGGUUCUACGUUCACGGCGGCGCCGCGGUGGUCGGAGGAGCCUGGGACGGCAAUGAACCGUCGCCGGAGGUCGAGGGGGAGGCGGCACGCGCGAUAAUGGGCAGCGACGCUCGGAAGCCGUGGGGGCUCGGUCUCGGCCCGCACCGACCCAGGGCUGCCGCAGGGUGCACGAGCGGCGACAGGCGGCACGCGAGGACAACUGGGAGGCGCGCCGGAGGUCAAGGGGAAGGUGGCGCUCAGACUUAGAUGACAUUCCUGGGUUGCCCUCAGACAGAAAUGGAGGAGGUUGGUGGAUUGGUUGAGAGAAAAGAAUGGAGGGGGUGGCCGGGUUCUAGUUUUCCGGCGGCCGGGCACCUUCCGGCGGCCGGGGUGAGAGCAUGGCUAGGGCAGGGCUACUCUGAUGUCGGCAGGGUAAGUUUGGCUAAGGAGAACGCCAAAAGCUAGGGUUUCCUCAUGAAACCCUAGUGCAACUACUAUAUACAUAUGUGCAUUUUGCAAGAUAGUCCUCCCAGGGGUAGUAUUCUCAGUCAAGUCCCUCACAGCGCGCAUAUUUUACACAUACGCACCUCUAUGUCCGAUCUCACGCGAUUCGGCACAUAAAAUAUAAGGGUUUCGCGCGAAAUACCAAAAAUGCCGCUUUGACCUCUUAGCGAAAACUUUGUGAUUCCCGAAGAUCCGUCCGUCAGAUUUCCGAGCGGAUUGCGCCAGCGCGAUCAGCACCACGGAGACAAUAAACCUACGAUUUUGGUUCACAUCGAUCGGUGACGGAUUCGCGACGAAACCCGUCCGCUCUCCAAUUUCCAAAAACCACACACAUAUACCAAUAUGUAAUCCCACUAAAUCCUAGAUUCAAAUUCAAAUUUGAAUCUCCUACCUAGUAGGUACAUGUAACAUCCCUCACCUUACUCUAGGUCACAUACACGGAGCACGAGGAGUCUUAUUAUGCAAGAACAGCAAAGAGCGAAAACCCUCUUUUCAAUAAAAUCCCUUUUUCUCAAAAAUCAUGCAUCAAAUCUGAAAUCCGUCAAUGCCAUUGGUUCCAGAAUAACUGAACCGGUCGAAACGAGCUAUUGGAUCGCUAUGAACGGAGUCCGAUACACGCUGAAAGCCAACUCUACUCCGUGGCUUUACCGAAAAACCGGGUUAUUAUUCACUUUAAGUGAAAACUAAUAAUCGCGUAACUUCUCCGUUUUAGCUCAUUUUCUCCUGAAAGUUGACGAGUGCUUAUGUAAUUAAAUUACACACAUAAACCUCAUCAACAGAAAGUUUAGUAGCACUGUAAAAAUCUCAGUCCUUACAUCAUUCUUCUCUCUCUUCUUUCUCUCUGGGAUUUCCAUCUACGUUUCCGGGAUUUUGGAGUGUGGAUAUAGAAGAGGACUCUGGUAGCCCUAUUUGAUUUGCAUCUGAUCUGUGUCCGACGCAUCAGAUUCGCAACGCAAGGCGUAGGCGUGGGAGAAGGCAAGAUAGUUGGGAGAUCGAGAAGCAUCGAGAUAAGGACGAUCUAAGCAGGGUAGUAAAAUAAGCAACUCGAUCUGAUUUCGGUUCCUAGAUAUGUUUGAUAUCCAGUUUGUAAGUUUUCGCUGCCAUCUAAUUCCUACAAAUACAAAGGAGACUCUGUCCGUGUAGGCAGAAGAACUUGUAUUUGCGGCAGGUCUAUACGUCACGUGGGCCGAACUAUUUCAAAAAAAAAAAUUCACAACUCUGAUUUAUAAAAUGGUAUUAUUUUAUGUAAAAGCUCUUAUCAAUUAGAACCUGGGGCGUGACACUAUAGCUGGAUAACUUGAGUAUAUUUUAUUAAAAAUAAAUUCCAAGCUUUUGAUGCUUUUUAGAAAUUUAAAAAUUUGAUUGAAAACAAAUCUAGUUAUUAUUUUAGGACCCUCUGUAUAGAUCGAGUAGGAGAAUUUAUUUCUAACAAGUUUGAAAAUUUUUUUGAAGUUAAUGGUAUCCACAGGCAGUUGAUAACCAGUUACAUGCCUCAUCAGAGCGGUGUUGCAAAGUACAAAAGUCAAACUUUAGUGGAGAUGACAAAAAGCAUGUUGAAAGUAAAAAGGCUCCCGAACAAAUUUUCGGCAGAAGUGGUAUCUACUAUACCACAUAUUCUCAAUAGAAGUCCAAUUUCGCCGUUGGAUAAUAUUACACCUUAUGAAGCAUGGACAGGUUGGAAGCUGAAUGUAAAACAUUUUAAAAUUUUUGGAUCAGUUUCUUUUGUUUAUAUUCCAUGGCAAAAUAGGCAAACAUUGGAUCAUUAUAAUUGAAAGUGUAUUUUUGUGGGUUAUAGCGAAAGAAGUAAAGCCUAUUGAUUUUAUAAUCUUGCUACUAAUUCUUUAAUUAUAAGUCGUGAUGCUAUAUUUGAUGAACAAAAAGCUUAGGAUAGAGCACAAAAGUGUAGGAUAAUCCACUUCCGAUACUCGAAAAUGAAACUGCAACUAAAAACAAACAAUGGUGAAAGUACGACAAGUACAAAAACAACACCGCCAGCUUCACCACAGAGUUCACUAGAAACUUCUCUAGAGAUAGCACCAAGAAGAGUAAAAUCACUUACUAAAAUAUAUGAGCAGUACAUGUACUCACAAUUUGGUGAACUACAAACCUUCGAGGAGCAGCAAAAUUCGAUGAUCGGUGUAAGGCCAUGAAUGAAGAAAUUGCGUGAAGAAAUUGCGGCGCUAGGAAAAAAAUAAUACCUAGGAGCCUGUUGAGCCGUCCGCAGAAAAAGAAGUUAUCGUGUUGAAGUGGAUAUACAAGGCAAAAUAUAAACAAGAAGGAUUGAUCCAGAAAAUAAAGGCGCGACUUGUUGCAAAAAGUUAUUUAUAGCAGACAGGUAUUGAUUUUAAUGAAACUUUUGCACCCGUAGCUAGAUUUGAUACUAUUAGAACUAUUUUUAGCUUUAGCUGCACAAAAUAAAUAGAAAGUUUUUCAAUUUGAUGUUAAAUCAACCUUUCUUAAUAGAUUUUUGGAUAAAAAUGUUUUUGUUGAGUAAUCACAGGGUUACACAGUUAAAGGAUAAGAACACAAAGUUUACAGACUACGGAAGGCAUCAUAUGGAUUGAAAUAGGCUCCACGAGCCUGUAUAGUCGGAUUGAUUCGCACUUUAUUCAACACAAAUUUUUUAGAAGUGAGAGUGAACCCACACUUUUUAUUAAAUCUCGAGGUAUGGAGAUUUUGAUUAUUUGUCUUUAUGUUGAUGAUUUGAUUUAUAUCGGAAAUAGCACAGAACUGAUCGAUAAAUUUAAGUAUGAUGAUUGAUGAGAUGAUUGAUUUUGGUCCCUUGAGUUACUUUUUAGGCCUAAAAGUAAAAUAAGGAGAUAAUGGAAUUUUUUUUGUCGAAAAAAAAAAAUCUGGGUGAUUUGCUUGAAAAUUUUAAUUAAUAUGAAAGACUGCAAUCCCAUGCAAAAUCAACUACGUACAAAUAUGAAGCUAUUAUUGGAUGAUAGAGAAGAAAAGAUAGAUGCAAGUUUAAACAGAAGUUUGAUUGGAAGCUUGCUCUACAUUAGUAACAGUAGACUAGAUAUGGUGUAUGCGGCGUCCUUAUUGUCGAGAUUUAAGCCCAAGCAAAUACAUUGGGGAGCAGCGAAAAGGAUAUUGAGAUACUUAAAAGGAACAAGACACCACAGGCUAUAGUAUACCCAUUUUUACGGUGCGGGUACAGUAUAUCAACUAUUCAAACUCGAUCCGAUCCACGGACACCUUUAAAAUAAAGAAUAAAAUAUCCCAAUACAAGAAAGGUACAUCACUUUUCAUGAGCACAAGAACCAUGAAAAAGCUAUCAUACUCCAUUAAAAGUACAAAAUGGCAUACCAAGCAAUAUAUAAGACAUCUUGGGUGGAUAUGAUCCAUAUAUUAUUACAAUACACAUGGGUCGAAAACAUACGUAACUAUCAUAAUGUAAUAUGAACUAUACACCACUACACCGACCGUUCCUAACGCAAGUGGCAAAGGGCUUGGUCGUUGAUAUAUACCCACCCGAAAUCCUAAAUUUGAAUCCUAUUUAAUUCACAUUUUCAACUAAGUUUAUUAAAAAAAAAAAAAAACGAAGCGAAUAGCAUGCUACCUUUCUCUCUCUUAGAAGAAAAAAGAAAAAAACUAUUGCAAUACUCAUGGGUCUGUAAGUCUUAUUGAAAUUGAUCCCUCAACUUCACCGCGUCCGCUUCCGCGUCCAGGUCCGAGUCCGAGUCCGGAUUUAAAAACUAUUUUGGAUCCUACCAUUAAAAGUUCAGAUUCAGGUUGAGUCUAAUUCAGGUAUAGGCAUAAAAAAUUCGGAUUCAUCCACAAAGCUUUAAUGGGUAAUAUUUUUUUAUUCAUAUACUAUCCGGGUAGGGUUCGGAUAAGGUAUGGAAUAAUAUCGGGUAUUUUAGACAGCUUUUAGUCCACACACACUGGGGCCGAAACGGCUGGCCGGCUCGGUCACAAAUCUGGGUCAUGCUAGGUCGGGCCUAAUUUUUGGAUUGUUGGCCCAGCACAGUACCCCAGAUUGGAUAGCAUGGACCGUACAAUGCCAGUCCAGGUCCCGUGCAGUAUAUACAUUUGUUUAUUUUAUAAAAUUGUAUUUUAAUUUUAUAAAAUUCUAAAUAAUGAAAAAUGGCCAAACCCAGAUAGAAAAAUCUAAAUACUGGAAGGGUAUUUCAAUCCAAACACAGAAAAAGGAGUUAGUCCGGCCCUUGGGAAACCCCAGCUUGGAUUCUCAAGAAAGUUCAAGAAUUAAUUUGAUCAAAGAUCCCAUUUGGCAUUCACACUUAUUUUACCUAAUAAAUAAAUGGAGUUGGACUUAGAACAUAUAGAAAUAUACUUCUACGCUUUUCGGUAAAACCGAAAAAAAAAAAAAAAUUAUCUCGUAACCAACAGACUCUCAUAUGCACAAUACGAUAUUAUAUAUGAAAAUAAACAAGGUACAAUAUCUCUGCAAAUCCCAAGUGAAUCAUAAAGCUUUGUUUGGCUCGGGAAUUAGUAGAAACUAGUUAUUCCAGUGAUAGGUAUAAGUAUGGAUUUUUGCAAGAAUAAGGGUAUUCUUUUAUUUGGAUGAAAAUGUGAGUAUAAACUGAAACUAGAAAAAUUGUGUUUGGAUGGUUAUUGGGAAUAAGAGAAAUAGUUGAUAGUUAUAAAUAGAAAAUAAUGAUAUUACCUCUAUAAUUGAAUUUAAAAUUUAUAAUUUUAAAUUAAAAAUUUUAACUUUUAAAUUUUAAAAUUUGAAAUUAAAAUUUAAAAUUUUAGUUUUUAAAAUUUUAAUUUUAAAUAUCAAAUUUUAAAUUUAAUACCAAAUUUAAAUUUGAAAUAUAUAAAAUCUCAAAUUUAAAAUUUAAAAAUUAAAAAUAUCAAAUUUAAAAAUUAAAAAUUAAAAAUAUAUCAAAAUUAAAUAAAUUUAAAUUUAAAUUUAUUAAAAAUAUUAAAUUUAAAGUUUAACUUUAAAAUUUAAGAAAUUUAAAAUUAUAAAUCUUUUAAUUUUGAGAUUUAUAAAUUUAAAAUUUAAAUUCUAUUUAGAAAUCUCUCUGUGUGGGGGGGGGGGGGGGGACAAGUCUUGUUCCCACUAUACCGGAUUUUACCAGUACAAAUCCAGGUAUGGUGGACAAGUGUUCCACACACCACCACCCACCCAAAUUUUCGUUUGGGUACAAGAGGGGGAAUAAGGGAAUCCCAUCUUUUGUACUCAAUCCAAACGCCCUCUAAAUUUAUAAAGGGGUUCAGCCCAACGAAAAGGAGAGAUCGGGCUUGUUUUUUUUUUAUAAGUCUUUUCUAAUUCUUAAAAUUUAAUUUUAAUUUGUUAAUAUUAGUAUAUUUUAAAAUAAUUGUUUAAAUUUGAAUAAUUAAAUUAUAAUUGUAAACAGAAAAAAAAAGAAUAUAAAGUAUUGAAGAAUCAAAAAUAGUGGUCUCAAACCGCGCUAGCCCAUUUGAGCCAUGGCGUGUACCUGAUUUAGAGUCUACUUCCAUUGCUUAAGUAGACAUUUUUUGAAGAGGCAUUUAAUGAUAACUUCAUCGGGAUCAUCCCUCAACUACAAUACAAAUAACCAAUCGUCCCUAGAGCAAGUGGCAAAGGACUUUGUGGUUGGUACCCGAGACUCAAGUUCGAAUCCUAUUUGAUUCACAUUUCCAGCUAAGUUUAUUUCUAAAUGAAAUAAACGAAGUGGGUAGCAUACUACCUAACUCUCAAAAAAAAAAAAAAAAAAAAACUACAAUACGUACAAAUAGAAUUUUUCAACUAGAGUUUUGUACUUUUUGUAAUGUUACAGGAAUGACGGCUAAAAAUAAUAAUAAUAACUCCAAAAGAGUUCUUUUCUACAACAGUAAGCAGAGAUAUUAAAUUGGAGUUUGUACCUUAAUUAGGAAUUUGUACUCUCAUAUUAUAGUUUUUUUGUAGAAAAAAAAUUCAGAAUUUUUCUUCUUAAGAGAGCUGGUUUUGAAAAACCAACAGUAAAGAGAUCAAAGCCAUAAGAUUUGUGUGUUUAUUUCACAUGAUUUUCAUACAUGUACUCUUUUGCGUGUAUGAGUGAGUGUUAAGUACAAUAUUUAAAUCAUUUCCUACCAUAUCAAUUAACAUAUUUUUUCAGAAAAAGAUAGCAUGAUGGACACAGAUCAAUUAAGAUAUUGAAAGAAAUAGAUAAUUUUUUGUAUAUAUUUUAUUUCUUGAUGAAUAAUGUUUCUUGUAGAUGAAAGUUACAAUGCAGCAACUCUCAUAUAGAAUACUACUUGUAUAUAUGAGUGAUCAUAGGUGGUAGAUUAUUAGUUACACAUGAUUGGAAAAUUUGGUCAACUAAGAUAUGAAAACAAUCACGGUCCAUUAUUAACUAUCCAUUAUUAGAAAAUUUGAUCAAUUAAGAUAUAAAAAUUAUCACAAUCUAUUAAUAGAAAGGAAGUAUGAUAAUCAGAAUUAUAGUAACUAAAGAUAAAAUUACUGUAAGCAUAACAGGUAUUUCAUCCGCAUCAUGCAUCUUAAUAAAUACUUGAUCCAUAUUAUCUCUACGUUAAGAAGGCAUUUGGUUCGAUAAAAUUGUAUGUCAUUAAUAUAGAUAAAAUUGGAUGUCAUUAAUAUAGCUACACGUAUUUUGUUUAGUAGAAUAAACUAAAAAUAGUGCAACAACAAAUAAUUUGUUUGGUUUCAUGCAGUUAGCUAGGAAUUGUAUUUAUAAAUUUUAUCAAUUUAUCUAUGUAAGCAGUGAGAUUUCCCUAAUAUCAAAGUAAAAAAAACUUGUUUUCAUUUGAAAUAAAGGUGAUCACCAGGUGAGUAAGCUUACAUCUUCUUUUAAAACUACAGUUGGAAUUAUGAUCAAUUUGCGUGCAGUUCCAACUAAUUUAGUUAAGCUGCCUCAUGCAUUUCUAAUAACAGUAGUAGAAUUUAGCAGAGCCAAAUCAAACACCGUAAGUGAAUGUGCAUACGAUCAUAAGUGUAAUGCAAUAAUUAUAAUGACAUGCAACCAAACAGAUUCUGAAUUUGAGUGCGCUCUUCAUCGAAGCAGAACUGCACUUAAUCAAAAACUGGCGUAGAGCUGCCGCGAGUGCGGGCCUACCACUGCUGUCCGCACCGCGCUGGUGGCAGUCGUUCCUUUCUGCCAAAAGGUUUUUGGUCCACUAGAGCUAUCCUUAUCUGAGGAUAUUACGCAAGAAGCACACCCUUCCAAAAAACGUCGUCAACUUCACGCAUGUUUAAAUAUCUAGUUCGAUUCUUUUUUGCUUUUCAUAUCUUAAUAAUUGCAUCUACUUACACUGUAUAUUCAUAUUAUUGUCGUUGUUAUUUUUGAAAGAUAGUAUUAAAUUAUGUGUUUUUAUCCAUCUCUACACGGUAUUUAUGCUUUUUUAUAUAUAUAUAUAUACUUCCAUGCACUAUAUUUUACUCUCAAAGACAUCAUUUAUACCAUACAUGAUAGGAAAACCUAACAAGUGUACGGCAGCCUCCUUCUCACUUCAGUAGGGCUGGCAAACGAGCGAGCCGGCUCGCGUUCGACUCGUGUUCGGCUCGAUAUUCGGCUCGCUCGAGCUCGACUCGAAAUUAAAUGAGCCGAGCUUGAACAAAAUAAAAGGCUCGAAAUUCAUUUCAAGCCGAGCUUGAGUAUUACUCGGCUCGUUCGAAUUAGGCUCGAAAAGCUCGAAUAUAUAUAUAUAUAUAUAUAUAUAGAGAGAGAGAGAGAGAGAGAGAGAGAGAGAGAGAGAAGAGAGAGAGAGAGAGAGAGAGCAAGGCUACUGUGUUAUUAGGAGCACAGCAGUCUGUGCUCCUAACUUUCUAAACAUUAUCAAGUUUGAUGGAUAGUUAGAAUAGAGAGAGAGGAGAUAUUGAGGAGAAAUUGGAUGUUCAAUUCUUUUCUUCUUGAAUUUUCUCUUCAAAUCUCUUUCCUUUCUCAUUCUAUACAUCCAUCAAAUUUGAUGGUGGUUAGAAAGUUAGAAGCACAAGGGCUGCUGUGCUCCUAAUAAGCAGUAGCCUACUAUAUAUAUAUAUAUAUAUAUAUUUAUAAAUAUAAUGUAUUUUAAUUAUAUAUAGGCUUUAAUUAAUUUGGUAUUAUAGUUGGCCAUAAAUUAACCCAACAAGUACAAGCCAUACAAUUGAGCCCAACUCUUAAAUUUACAUAACACUCUCUCUCUUUCGACUUUCACUGUUGCACAUAUCCUAAAACAUUAUAACAUUCAAAUUCCAAAUCCCUAAUUCCCCCCCCCCCCCUCUCUCUCUCUCUCUCUCUCAAGACCUCACCCAGUCAGGCAGUCACCCUAGCUCACAUUUCUUGCAAUUAUUUUGUAUUAUUGAACUAUUGGACAUGUUGCAUCAAAUUGUAGGUAAGUUCUAUAAAAUUAAACUAUUGAUUAUAUAUAAUGUCGAGAAUUUCAAUCGGGCUCGUUUAGAGCUCGAGCUCGGCUCGACUCGAAAUUAGCUCGCUCGAGCCUCGGCUCGAAUUAAUUUCAAGCGAGCUGAGCCUAGAUUUUAGGCUCGAAAUUAAUUUAGCCGAAUUUGAGCUCGAAUAAGCUCGCCGAGUCGGUCGUUUCCACCCCUACACUUCAGUGGGUCCGCUUUUUUUUUUUUUUUCUCUCUCUCUCUCUCACACACUCUCUCUCUCUCUCUCACACACCCUACAUCCUUUUUUUUUUUUCUCAACAUUUUUUCUUUUUUGUUUUUGUCACUACCAAGUAUAAAAUUUUAUCGCAUGAACCAAUUCUAUUUUUUAAUAGUUAAUAUAACAAAAUUAAAAUUUCAUAUGGUGUAAAAAAAAUUAUAUACCGAAUGUAUAAGGCAUGCUUAUAUACCACCCCUGUGGUUUCACACUUUUUCACUUUAGUACCUUGUAGUUUAAAGUGCAUCAAGUUUGUAUAUUGUGGUUUCAUUUUCUCUUUUCAUAAGCUCCUCCAUUAAUAUUUCGUUAAAUUAUAUACAAAAAAAUUUCAGAUGCUCCACUUAGGUUUAUCGAAUAUUCACUUUAAUACUCUUUAGUUUAACUUUGCCCCUGAUUUAACGAAAAUUAAAAGAUAGUAGAAUGAAAAAUAAAAAGAGAAAAAUGAAGCUACAGGGUACUAAAUUGAUACACUUUACACCGCGUGAUAUUAAAGUGAGAAAGUGAGAAACCACAUGGUUAGUAUUUGAAGUUUUUCCUAAUAAAAAUUCAUGCACAAAAUUUAAUAGAUUUUUACCUUUAUUCUAUAUCCUCAGUUUUACAUUUGUUUGGGUCUAACAAAAUAGGGACAUUUUCGAAAUUAUUGCUGCAGUCUAGAGACAAAUUAUUGUUUAAUUUAUUUUUUAGAUAUGUUUUGCAAUAUAUAUUUGUUUGGCUCUAAUUGUUCUAUCGCUAGCUGGUAGACAGAAAUUAUUGCUACACCCGGUGUAUAAGACAUUCUUAUAUAUAUUCUUUAAUUUGAUUUUAACUUUAAUAUAAAUAUAGUUUAGCUUUAACAAGUCACAACUAUCUAAUAUAAGACCUCCAACUUUAGCUUUUUAGUAAAAAAAAAUUAUUUAUAAAAUAGGUAUCAAAACUAUUAAAUUUAAUUAAAUUUUUAAGUAAAAUUAUUAGAAUAAUUAAGUAUAUAAAUAUUAAAAGUUAAAAAAUAUUAAUAAAAUAAUUAUUUUUUAGAAAAAUUUGUAUAUUAUAUUACAGUACAACAAAAAAUCUAUUCCAGAUACGAAGAAAUGAUGAUCGUGAUGUGGAGCAGUUAUAUCUUCGGUUACGAGAAUAUGAAAAAAUAGAUAUUGUGAACUAAAAUAUUAUUUUUUCUGCUGCAUCAUGCGAGCCCUUAGCUAGUUAAACUAUGAAAUCUCUAUAAUACUGCAAAUACAUUUAUUAUUUUAGAAAGAAGCUCCUGAAGGGACCGGCCCUGGAGUUAACAAGCACAACUCAAACCCACAUAGCACACGAGCGCAGCAAGAACAGAAUCUUUCAUAGACGUAAGAGACGAGAACAAUCGUAGGAAAAAUAAACAUGAAGAUAACAAAAUAAUAAAGGAAACAAGAGAUGAUAAGAACACAAGAUUUACGUGGUUCGGCCAACCAUGAGUCAACUUACGUCCAUGGGCAAGACUAUUAGGAUUUCCAUAUAUUGUGGCCCAAUUAAUCAUAUUUAAUUUAGGAUUUGCUAUAUAUAAAGGUCAAUCCUAACAGAUUUAGAACUACUUGAUAUGGCAUAUUUUAUCCCUAUCCCAUCUAUUUCAAAUUUAAAUAGAAUCCUAAUCAGACUUUGAUGGAAAGUCGAUUUGGGCUCUAUAUAAAGGGGUAUUGGUGCUGCCACCUUCUCAUACGUAUUCUGGUGAAGAAUUAUCAUCGGUUCCACACCAUACGGUAGAGUGCCUGAGAUAGGAGGAGAAACCAAAUCACCCAAGUUCGGUUUGUGACUUUCAGAUCAUAGCCGGACUUCACGCUUCUACAGAUUGAUUAGGAAUUUCUUCUCUAUGGCGCUCUGUGAGUUAUUUAUCGUAUUUGAUCCUGGAUUUUGGUAUGUAUUUAAUUUGUUUCGUAUUUUACAUAUCUUGAAAUUUUAUCAAUUGGUAUCAGAGCAAGGUUGAUAAAUUAAAUAUUAUAUGUAUUAAAUAAUUGGAUCAAAUUAUGAUAAAUUUUGAGUUUUCGUAAUAAAAGGUUUUACAGUUUUUGAUCCUAAUUAAGAUCACACAACCGUAUAACUUGUGUAUGGAAGGAUUUAUGUAGUGAUUCAUUCUUUAAAAUUUUAUAAAAUAUUACACAUUACGUGAUCUUAAUUUGUGGGCCAAUUAAGUUUGCAUCCUUCUUGAUCACAUGAGGCAUGGUCGACUGCGGCGGUGACAUGAUACCGUGAUCGUUAAUCCUUCGGAAAUUAGGUUAAUAUUAAGGUGCGGCUAGUGUCUACCCAAUGACAACCCCAUUCCCAUCCGAUGUGGGACUAUUGGGGUGUCACAGACUCCCCCCGUUAAGGCCCUGACGUCCUCGUCAGUCCAAACACACACACAGCCCAAGAUUACCAGGCGAUGUGAGACUCGUCUCGCUAGCCCGUCAUCCAGACCCUGGCUCAGCCGAGACUCGCCACACGUGUCCAGCUGGUGAACUGGCUCUGAUACCAAAUGUAACGACCCAGCCCACUAGCAACAAUAACUCGUUGGGCCCAACAACCGGCCCAAAAUGCUUAAGUCCAGUUAUUAUUACUAGUGUCUAAGUCUCUUAUAAACCCAAUGACAAUUCCAUUCCCAUCCGAUGUGGGACUAUUGGGGUGUCACAGCGCGGCUUCGUACAUGCAUAGUGGUCAAGAUUUAUUAGUUGGCUUCCUUAAACUAAUAUUCAUUAGCCAAUUACAGAUUGGCUCUAUUUAUUUAUAUGCAUUAUUAGAGCCCGUUCUUGUUUUUGAACCUGUCAUUGGUAGUCUCGUUAAUGAGGUGAAAUUAUUUUGUAGAUGGUCGAGUCCGACCAAUUCAAAAUUUUCUUUGGUUCCGCAUCGGACCUCAAGCAUUAUUAAUUAAUUGCAAGGCUCCUUUUGCAAAUUAAUUAAUUAAGGAUCCGUUUGACUCUGUGGUUAUAUAACCUCUUUUAUUCAUUAGAAUUUGUAUACAUCAAAAUUUGAUCAUCAUGUUUGUUAAAGUAUCGUGAACAUAGAGAAUCCGUUCACAUAAGGAUUUAAUUUUGCAUACAAUAUUUAAUUUAUCAUUUUAUUUAUCUUAUAUUUGUGGUCAAAUUAGAAUAUAUAAAGUUUAAAUUUGAUUGCGAUGUCAUGUUUUAAAUUAUCGCAUCUAUAUUCUUAUUUUGACCGGAUGAACAUGAAAAUUAAAUAAUCAUAAAUAUUUUCGAUUAUUUAAUGUUUGGCGCUGAGUUAAAUUAAUUUAUUAUUUCGAUUGGUUAGGUGCAAGCCAAAGCGACCCUAAUUAAAAGAAAUAAUAAUUUAAUUUACUUUAAAGUAGUGCUUCCAGAUAUUUUCAUGUUAAUCAUGCAGCAUUAAGUCAGAUUAAUUUAUUGCUUCAACUGUUUGGGUGCAAGCCAAAGCGGCCCCGAUCGGAAGAAAAGAUAAGUUAAUUGCUUUAAAGAAGUGCAUGCAAAAAUUGCACCAUAAUAUUAUGUUUAGUCUGCUCCCAAAGGAGGUCUAGACAUGAAAGUACAUGGGUGGUGUAGGAUGGUAAUUUUCUUAUAACUCGUUUGGAGAAAUUUGCCUGGUCAAAGCUAACGAUUUUUUCAUAUGAAAAUUUGAAAUUAUCAAGACCUACAAAAAGGUUUAAAUUAGUCUCUGAUAAAGAGAUUGCAUAUUUAUGCUUAUAACUCCGCUCCCAAAGGAGGGGUUGUGAUGUCAUAUAAAGUAUAUGCGUAAGGAAUGAUUGCAUAUUUAUGCUCAGAACUCUGCUCCCAAAGGAGGGGUUGUGAUGUCAUAUAAAGCAUAUGCAUAAAGAACGAAAAAUACUUAUGCUUAUAACUCUGCUCCCAAAGGAGGGGUUGUGAUGUCAUAUAAAGUGUAUUUUUCUAAUUUUGGUGUGAUAAUUUAUGAUGUGGUAUUUUAUUGAUAAAGCAUGUAUUUUAUUUUUCAGCUAUGACUCCAUUUUCUGUUCCUAUUGGUGAAUAUGUUUCUAUACUUAUAUGGUUCUAAUUAUUCGGAGUGGAAAGAACAGAUCAUGUUCAUUUUGGGCUAUAUGGAUUUAGAUUUGGCACUGCACGCUAAACAACCACCUAAGGUAGUGGGGCCAAUGAGUCCACAGCAGAAAUUCGCGCAGGAAAAGUGGGAGCGAUCCAACCGCUUAAGUUUGAUGCUCAUAAAGUCAAGGGUAUCAAAAAGCAUGAGGGGAUCAAUCCCAGAAUGUGAUAAAGCCAAAGACUAUCUAAAGGCCAUUGAGGAGCAAUUUGUCAGCUCCGAUAAAGCCUUGGCAAGCACCUUAAUGAAUAAAUUGUCUUCCAUGAAGUACUCCGGAAAUGGCUCGAUUCGCGAGCAUAUUAUGGAAAUGCGAGAUAUUGCAGCGCAACUCACCGCACUUAAAGUAACCAUCUCUGAUUCAUUCUUAGUGCACUUUAUUUUGAACUCUUUACCAUCUGAAUGCGGACCAUUUCAGAUCUCUUAUAAUACACAUAAAGAUAAAUGGUCAAUUAAUGAAUUGCUGACCAUGUGUGUGCAAGAGGAAGGCAGAUUAAUACAAGAGAAACAAAAUGCAGUAAACUUUGUUUCUUAGAAGAGACAAAUAAAGCGUGCUAAGAAUAGCAAGGGCAAGUAUGACUCAAAAAGAAAGAACAAGAAAGUUUCAUCUGGUUCACAAGGCCAAUCAAGUAAUUAGACUCCCAAGUGCUUCUUUUGUAAGAAAAAGGAUCAUAUAAAUAAGGACUACCAAAAGUAUUAGAAAUGGCUCCAGAAGAAAGAUAAAUUUCUGGUUUUGAUGCAUGAGUUGCAUUUAGUUUCAGUUCCGUCUAAUACUUGGUGGAUUGACUCUGGUGCCACAUGCCACGUUGCGAAUUUCAUGCGGGGAUUUCAGAAUCGGAGAAAACCCAGUAAAGAUGAAGCAACUAUCUAUACAGCUGAAGGAAAUCCAACUAAACUAGAAUUUGUAGGAACAUUUAGAUUAGUUCUUUCUACUGGUCACAUUUUCGAUUUAGUUGAUACAUUUUAUGUUCCAAAUUUUUCUAAAGAAUUUAAUUUCUAUUUUGAAACUUGUUGGAUUGGAAUAUAGUUUUAGUUUUAAUAAUAAAAUUUUUUCUUUAUCCUAUAAAUCUCAGAUAGUUGGCUCUUGUAUUUUGGAAAAUAAUCUAUAUAAAGUAUUUUUAGAUGAUUCAUUUAGUGAAAUCUUUUUUACCAUGCACGAAAAUGUUGGAUCAAAACGUGGCAUUAAUAAUGAAAGGCCAUCCAUAUUGUGGCAUAAGAGGUUAGGACACAUCUCAAAACAGAGAAUCUAAAGAUUAAUUAGAGAAGGCAUCUUAGAUGAUUUGGACUUCUCUGAUUUUGGAAUGUGUGUGGACUGCAUAAACGGAAAGCAGACCAAAACCUCUUCUAAAGGUGCUAAAAGAUGUGAUGGAACAUUAGAGUUGAUUCAUACCGAUAUAUGCGGACCUCUUCCUUUAUCAAAUACUGGCCAUAAAUAUUUUAUCACAUUUACUGAUGACUACUCUCGAUAUGGCUAUCUCUACUUGCUUAAAGAAAAAAACUGAAGCAUUAGAGCCUUUAAGGCAUAUAAGGCUGAAGGAGAGAAUCAACUCGAGAAAAGAAUAAAAGUAGUCAGAUCAGAUAGGGGUGGUGAAUAUUUUGGUAGACAAACAGAUAAAGGCCAAAUCCCUGGGCCUUUUGCUCAGUUUCUAGAGCAGUGCGAAAUUGUUCCACAGUACACCAUGCCAGGAACACCUGAUCAGAAUUGUCACGCCCCGGAACCGGCGGAGGCCCUCCCGGUAGCGUGCCCAGACCCACCAUAUGUCAACACAUAUAAGGCGUCUACAAUAAAAGCGGAAGUAAAAGCAAGUAAUAAAACAAGUAGAUGAAGUGAAAUAACUAGCAACUAGUGAUAUCAGAGCAAAUAUAGUUCUAUCAUCUAUACCAAGGUAAAGAAGUAAAGCUAGACAGUGAAAGGAGUCAUAAGAAGUACAAUAUCUGUCUCAAAUGUACAAAAAUAGUGGUCUCUAGUACCCAGGCAAAACACUCAACCUCUCGCAAAACAAAACAUAAAUCGAGAGGUGGACCACCUAGCGACUCGUCCUCGAAGGAAGCUAGCUCGAAGCAACUCCCUUCCCGCGAUCCCUGGCCUCACCCUGCGUGGAAGGCUCUGAAAAAUAUCGAGAAAAAGAGGGCGUGAGAACUAUAAUUUAUAGUUCCCAGUGGGUAAUUACUGACCUCAGCUCUAUGCACCACUAGGCCCCAAAAGAAAAGGGUAAGUACUAUAAGCAAUAAAGAGAGUAAUAGCAACAACAAUACGAAAGCAUAAUUGAAGAGCUAAACUGCUGUAUCUCAAAUAAACAUGAUGUUCUGGUGAUGUACAUCUACGCUAUCAAGAGAUAAUAUGUCCAAUGCAUAAAGAGUAAGCUCUAACCAAGCAACCGAGUAUACUACGAUGCAACAAUGAAAUCGGCAUGUGUGCUAUAUGUACCAAUGCUAUAUCAUGAGCAUGUCAAAGUAAUCCAACUACUAACCCUAUCUAGUAGUGAUUAUUCAUUCUCAACACUGUGUCGAUUUCCGUUUCCAAUUAAGAACCCACCCAAGGUAGUCCAGCUUGUGCCGCCUAAGUGCCUGUGGUAGCCCGACAUUCCUACUCUUGGAAUGUGUCUGUCCCACUCGACCCCGUAGGCUUCUCAAUACCGCACGAGCGAACAUUAGUCGCAUAGGCCAACUCCGGAGUGCCGGCUUGUGGGGAGCGACCCUCACAAGCAUGUGCGAAUGAGCACAAAUGGCAAACAAGCAAAGUCACUGUCUCAAGUAUCCAAUCCUCAUGUCUCUAACAUGGUAUAGUCACUAGCAUCCCGAAAUCUAUUCUCAAAGUGAGUAAUGGGAAAUCACCACACUGCUUAGUGCCUCUUUAUGAAACUUAAGCUUCACAACUGGUAUGUUUCAAGUAAGAAUUAACAUUAACGCUCGCUAUUGCCCCGGCCCCAAUCCUCUUCAUACAUUGGCCCAAUCUCACAUAUCUCUAAAUCUCUAACCUCUUAGCUUCAAUAAUCCCUAAUGUCACAACUGGUAUAUAGUUUGAAUGCAUGAAAGCAAGGUUCGUUUUCAUAAUAGGGAGUAAUUUCAAGUCUCAACUAGAAUGCUAGCCACAUAUGCAUCUCUCUACUAUAUAGAGUCCAAAAUUUACUAAGCACAUAACCUAUCAUCUUAAGCAUUCUAAAAUUCAUAUUAAAUACAUUUAACAUGGAAAUGCAUGAAUUUCUAUUUUUACGAAACAUAUUUGCCAUAUAUGACAUUUCAUAUCAUAGGCUAGGUCAAACCGCACCACCGUCGCGUAGGGUCUCAAUUCGCCAAACAAGUUGUCCACGAGUCUCUAGAUACCCUAAAAGUGAUCAGCGAAGAGAUCGAGAGUAUUAGAACCAUUUCGAGAGAUCAACAUUAACCUAGAGCAAAAAUGCUAAAAUUUACUCUAAGUAAAAUUCCCCAAAGCAAAAGAAGCUAGAACCCUUCCAAUCAAGCCUAGGAAGGUUCUAAACAAUCGAUUGGGUCAAAAGCCUAGAUCAAAAAUCCCAAAAUAAACCCUAACAUCAAAUCUAGGGUUCAUCUCAAAAACUAGCAAAACAAGGUCUAGAGGAGGGAAAUGAGCAACCAACCUCCUUAGAAGCUCAAUCCUAGCUCCAAGGUUAAGAUCUCCUCCUAUGCAAGCUCCAACAACUCCAAGCACAAGGAAAAGAGAGGUGAGGAAAGCUCCAAGUCCUCUAAAAGCUUCAAUCUUCUUCUCCUUGCCUUCCUUCUUCUCCUUCUCCUCUAUCAAAGGUGUGAGAGAGUUAGAGAAGAGAAAUGAGAAGUAGAGAGGGUGAGGGGUCAUAUAGACCCUCUCAUUGUAAAAAUCAGCUAGGCGCACUCCAAAAAUCACAAAAUUGAUCUAGCCCGAACUGGCAGUUUCUGCGCCAGAGGGACGUCUCUCCCAAGGGACGGCUCUCGCUAGGCCGAAAACGCAAGCGUUCGGGAACCGUUCUCCCUGCGACGGAUCGUCUCUACACUGCAAGGCGUUCGGGAACCGGUCUCGCCCUGCAGGGGACCGGAUUGCCACUAGGCUGCUCAACACUGUCACUUGAGGGACGCUCGUCCUUCAGGGCGGUCCCAGAGUGAAAUACUCUCAGGACUUGUCAGAUUACCAGUUUUCGGAAUCAUUUGCGUGACGCGGAACAUUACUACGACCUCCACCAAGUUGUGGAAGCUCGAAAAACAUCCAAACACAUCGAACCUCGCAAUUUUCGCAAAAGUCCAGUGUGUUUACAAGAAAGUGUUGCUGCAAGAAGUUGAACCUGCACAUUUAAUUGAUAGUCCAGGAGUAUGAUCUAAGUAAUUCACUCUCGAUAUCAUUGUGAGAUGAGGCACUCAAACUGCAUGUUAUCUUAAUCGGGGUCCACUAAGGCUGUCCUACAAGACUAAUUUUGAGCUUUGAACAGGUGCAACUAGUUUAAAGACAUUUUCAUCACAUGUGGGUUGUCAACUGUAGGCCCAAUGUAUAUAAUCACAAAAAAGAAGUGGAUCCUCGAAACCCAUAUCAGGGAUAUCUUUAUUGUUAUUUUAGAAAGAUCCAAAGGGUAUAAGUUUUUACUAGUCCAUCCUUUCUAUAAAAAUUUGCAUAAAACUAAACAGCUCGGUUUAUUGAGGAUAUGCAUUACGAGAGUUAUGAACUUGAUUCAUUAAUUUGAGGAAAUUCAAUGACAUAUUGGAUUCUUGUACAUGACAGAUCACUAUUAUCUUUCACGAUUUGAGGGUUCUUAUUCCAGUAAAACAACAAGUCGUUUUUGGACACAAAAUGAUGUGAACCUAUAUUGAAAUUCUACAUCAACGAUGCACAAAUGGAGUAAUCCACAUCAGAUGUAUCAAGUUGAUAAUCCAAUAGCAUUUAAGAGAUCUCAACAGAAGAAAGCCGGCUAUAUCUAUGAUUAUAUAUCUAGCUUUAUGAAAUGAGCCAGAGUUUAGAUCGAUCUCUCUAGUUUUCGGAGCUAUAAAUACAGUAAUUACAGAAUGUAACAAUUCAUGAAUUGAUGAUUUGAAUUCAUGACUCACAAUAAGGAUGGAAUCUUGUGAUUAUCUAUAGGAGUCAAACCCGUAGUUCAGUGGUUAUAAAAUCAAAUAGUUCACAAAGAUAACAUAGAGAUAUACAAGGCCCGACCUUGAUGGCGAAAAGAUUCACUCAAAAGAAGGUAUUGACUAUAAAGAGACUUUCUCUCCAUGUAUCAAAAAGAAUUUUCUGUAUUACUUAUGCUCUGGUUGCUUCAUUCGAAUGCUGAGCUACACUAGAUAAUGUCAAAAUUCUUUUUUAAAUGGAAUCUUUAUAAGAGUGUUAUAUUGAAUCAACCUGAAUGUUCUCGCAAUAAGGAAAGGAGGCAUUUGGUAUUCAAAUUAAAGAAAUAAUAUAUGACUAAAGCAGGCCUCCCGACAAUGGUAUUUAAAAUUUAAACAAACUAUUUUGACCUUUAGUUUUAAGGAAAAUAUUGUUGAUCAAUGUAUUUAUCUAAAGGUUAGUGGGAGUAAAAUAAUUUUCUUAGUCCUUUAUGUUGAUGAUAUUUUGCUUGCCAGUAAUGAUCUUGGGCUAUUGCAUAACACUAAAGAGUUUCUUUUCCAAAAUUUUGAAAUGAAAGAUUUAGGUGAGGCCUCAUAUGUUCUUGGUAUUGAAAUAAAAAAUGAUAGACAUAAAGGUUUACUCGGUCUAUCUCAAAAGGCCUACAUAAAGAAAGUUUUGGAAAAUUUUGAAAUGCAUAAUUGUAAGCCCAGUGUUGCUCCUAUCCAGAAAGGGGAUAAGCUUAAUGCUUUACAGUGUCCCAAGAGUGAAUUAGAAAUUGAACAGAUGAAAAUCUACCCUAUGCCUUUAUAGUUGGUAGUCUUAUGUAUGCACAGACGUGCACACGUCCGGAUAUUGCUUUUGCCGUUGGAUUAUUUGGUAGGUAUUAAAGUAAUCCAGGUAUGGAGCAAAGGGCCGGCACCUGGAUCAUAUACAGAUCGUAUUAAAAGUAUGGGUUUGAUUAAUUCUUUCGAUAUAUAAAAUUGUAAUACUUAUUUUCUUUCAAUAAAGUUAAAGUUUAAUGCAGCUGUAUUAGACCAUUUAAUAGCAUAAAGCUUCGCCUAUUAACGAAUGAACAUACAGUUUAAGUUCAUUCAUAAAGUUUUGCCAUAUAAAGUACUCGGCUAGGAGGUGAAAAUGAUACGGUAAUUAUGGAAGGAAAUUUUGUUAUGAAGAGGUGGACCGCCAUAGUUCCUAUCAUUGUAGUCUUUUAGUUUGAGCUAAAUAUUAAGUGAGUUUUAAGGUAUUUGACCAUAAAGUUUUCAGUAAUGCGCAAUAAAGAUUGGAGUAUAGAAAAUCCGUUAAUGGAAUAUGAUUAAUAUGAGCCAAGUGGGAGAUUGUUAGGAUUUCCAUAUAUUGUGGCCCAAUUAAUCAUAUUUAAUUUAGGAUUUGCUAUAGAUAAAGAUCAAUCCUAACAGAUUUAGAACUACUUGAUAUGGCAUAUUUUAUCCCUAUUCCAUCUAUUUUAAAUUUAAAUAAAAUCCUAAUCAGACUUUGAUGGGAAGUCUAUUUGGGCUCUAUAUAAAGGGUUAUUGGUUCUGCCACCUUCUCAUACGCAUUCUGGUAAAGAAUUACCAUCGGUUCCACACCAUACGGUAGAAUGCCUGAGAUAGGAGGAGAAACCAAAUCACCCAAGUUCGGUUCGUGACUUUCAGAUCAUAGCCGGACUUCACGCUUCUACAAAUUGAUCAGGAAUUUCUUCUCUAUGGCGCUCUAUGAGUUAUUUGUCUUAUUUGAUCCUGGAUUUUGGUAUGUAUUUAAUUUGUUUCGUAUUUUACAUACCUUGAAAUUCUAUCAAAGACCACCUCAAUGCUUUCUUCAAUUAAUCCACCGUACAAAAGUAAAGGACUAGAUAGGAUUACAAGAAACUCUCUCUCAGGAGCUUUCCACAUUUUUAUUUCAAUUAGGAUGUCUACAACGAAACUCAUACGAGGAACCUCCAACAAUAAGACUCUAAAUCUAAAAGAUUAAUUACAAGGGUUUAUAUAACCCUACAAUUUUAAUUCUAGUAGGAAAUGAUCUCCGCCUUCCAUCUGAGCCCGAUUUACAUCUAGCCGUCGAUAUCCUCUUAGGAAUCCUCUUUAAAGUGAUCCUGAAUUAUCCCUAAUCUUUUGGAACAAUAUUAGAUCCAAUUAGAGUCAAACUCUGUAUAUCGACUCGCAACAUGUCUUACAUAAUCCAACAAUUCUCCUACUUAAAGACAUGCACCGAACACCAAUUUAACAAAAAAUUGGAAGUUUUGCCAAACUCCUACUCUCCUCAUGUAGCUCUAAUACCAAGAAAAGUAAUGCUCCAAUUGAACUUCUCUCGAGUCACCGGCUUCAUCAAAAUAUUUGUUGGAUUUUCAUUAGUAUAAACUUUUAACAGUGAGAUAAGACCCUCAUCCACCACAUCUCUUAAAAGUGAUAGCUAAUAUCAAUGUGCUUCAUCUGGGAGUGAAAUGCCGAAUUCUUUGCCAAGUGUAUUGCACUUUGACUAUCACAAAUUCACUCCUAACACAUCUUGCUUCACCUUCAAUUCUCCUAGAAGCCAUUCUAACCAAAUAGCUUCCUACAAGCAUGUGCAACUACUAUGUACUCCGCCUCUGUCAUCGACAAAGCGACCACCGACUGAAGCUUCGAUUCCCAACUAAUAACACCACCGUCCAUAGAGAAAACAUAGCUCGUGGUAGACUUUCUCCUGUCUCUAUCUCCUGCAAAAUCUGAAUCCACAUAUCCGAUGCACUCUAAACCCACAGAAUCAUAAUAGAGUGAGAAAUCUGGAGUGUCCCUCAAAUACCUAAGGGUCCACUUCACUUCAUUCUAAUGUUCACAACCUGGAUUCGCUGUAUACCGACUUACUACUUCCACUACUUAAGCAUUGUCGGGUCUCGUAUACAACAUGGCAAAUAUAAGGCUUUCUACUGCCGAUGAAUAUAGUACUCGAGCCACGCUGGCCUUUUCUGCUUCCAUACUCGGUGAUUGCUCGACCGACAAUUUUUAAUAAAUAGGAAAUGGGGUAAAAACUAGCUUUGCGUUCUGCAUAUUGAAGCACCACAGAACCUUCUCCACAUUACCCUUUUGUGAAAGCCAAACCUUCCUAUUCUCCUGUAAUACUUCAUCCUGAGCAUUUUAUUCACUGCUCCUAAGUCCUUCAUAUCGAACUCAUCGGUUAAUUGAGUUUUCAGGGUAGAUCUCUGGCCCUUACUAUUUCCCGCGACCACCAUAUUGUCGACCUAUAAUAGCAAAAUAUAGAAGCUUCCGUCAUCAUAUUCGCAAAAAUAUGCACAAUGAUUCACCUCUAGCUUAUCAAAA